AGUUAUUUGGCAACCACUUCGAGUCAAGCCCGGAUGCUACAAUUUACCACAAUGACAUUAAACCAACAGAACAGAAGUUAUUUACCAACCACUUCGAGUCAAGCCCGGAUGCUACAAUUUACCACAAUGAUAUUAAACCAACAGUACAGAAGUUAUUUGCCAACCACUUCGUGUCAAGCCCGGAUGCUACAAUUUACCACAACGAUAUUAAACCAAUUGAAAUGAUUAAAUCUUUUGUUAGCAAAUUCUUGUCAAACCCUGAUGCUACAAUUUAUCAUGAGUAACCAGACUCUGCUUUCAAUCGUGUGGAGAGAGCCCGUUAUCCAUCUGUAAUAUUUGUGCGUACGUGUGAUGCUCUCUUUCUAUAAAUAAGUUAUGAGGAGUGCGGUUGUUUAAUGCUCUAAGGCACAAGCUUUGUAAGAAAGUGUGUUUUUAUUGUAAAAUUGAAUAAAAAUUUGUGCCAAGUUAAUUAAUUAUCCCUUUUCUAGUGAUUUUUUUUUUUCUAAUGCUUUGAUUAUUUCCACAAAAUCUUUUCGUAAGGAAAGGGCCUAGCUACUUGAAUCAAUUUUCUCCAUUUCAACGUUAUUAGUAUAAUAAUAAUACAAAAAAUCAUUAAUCUCAGUAAUUGAUAAACAAUAUUCUUUGCUAUUAUAUUGAGAAUUAAUUCCUAAUCUGAGAAAAUAAAUUAACAAUUAAAAAAUAAUAAAAGAUCGUGAACUACUUAGAUUUAUGGCCCUCUCACAUGUCGAUGGUACUUUACAUAAUUAGAAGCCUUUUUAUUAAUUUUAACAGACACCAUUCAAUCAACUUUGGUGACAUACUGAUAAUUGAUGCAAAAUUCUAUUUGGGGAAAAAAAAGUAAAAGAAAGAACUCCUAUUUUAGCUCUUAAAUCUUAAUUUUUCAAAUUUUAGAAGGAUUAAUGAUCAACAUUAUUUAGCCUAUUUUAUUUAAUUUAUAACUAUAGAAAUCCUAAAGCUGAUGGAGUAUACUUAAUACCUUAUUUUCCCCAAUCACAACCGUCUAAAUUCCUGAAACAUUUCAUUUCUUAAAUUUCAACGGUACAGAUUAAUUCUCUUACGAAAACUCAGCGACUUAUCCUGGACCGCCGCUACUAAAAUACAUAAGAGUAAAAUACUAUAGUAUUCCGGGACAAAUUUAUUUCUUCCACGACGCAAUAAAAUGCUGCGUCCAAUAACAUUCUGUUUCCUAAAGCUUACCCAAAUCGCAGAUAGGAACAUGGUUUGCAAUAAUUUUUCUAACAGAUCCUGCCAUCAAAUUCGUUAAAAACUGGUUUAAUUUUUAUUAAAUAAUUUUAAGUAAAUUGAAUAAGAUAAAAAAUUUAAAAAGUUAUUAUUUUAUAAUGAAAAAGCUAGAUCAUCCAUACGUAAUAAAAAAUAGUACGCAUUCACAACUUAAUGCAAUAUAAUCUAGACAACCAAAUAUAUUUUAUGUAUUUUUUACAAAUUGCUUUUAGUAUAAGCAAAUAAGGUGGUUGUCUAAACAUUCAUAUUUUUGGAAGGUCUCAAUUUUUAAUAUUUUCUUAAUAAUUUUCUAAUUAAUAAAGAUAUUUUUUUAACUUAUGUAUUGUAGAAAAACCUAUUAGACAUUUUUAUUAUUAACAACUAUACUACAAUUAAGAGUCUUUUUUGUAUAGAAAAUCAAUAUUUGUAACCUUAUUGAUAAAGAGAAAUGAUUAAUAAUAUUUUUAACCAUUAAUUCAUUCAUUAUUAGUUUUCUCAAGAAAAAAAGUUAAAUUCUUUACCUUUUCAUUUUCCUAAAAAAAACUUGAUUAUUUAACAUUGAAAUCUUUGACUUUUAUUAUUCCUUUAGUUUCUAUUAGAACCUUAUAAUAUAAAAAAUCAAUAGAUAAAAAAAAUUUGUUCCUCCUUUCUUUACGAAGAAAAUUAUUAUAUUUAUUGGUUAAUUUAAAAAAGAAAAAUUAGUUUCUUGAAGUAUGAAGACCAUAUCUAUUAUCUGAUAAUCAAUUCAUGAUCUCGACUUUCUAGCUAUAUUCUGUCAUUCUAAAUAUUUUAUUUGAAAAUAAUAUUGUUUUUAUUUAUUUGUUUGUUUGCUUUUUAAGAGUUCUGAUGGAAGUAAAAAAAACAAAUCUUUUUUACUAAUUUUUUAGGUUUUUUUUAAAAGAUUUUUUAAGAUAUUUUUUUAUUACUGUUAAAAUUUAAGAAUUAAAGAUAGAAUGAAUUUUUGAGUCUUUUCAUAUUUCUUUGAGUAUUGAAAUUACAAAAUAAAAUAUGGCCUUACAAAAAAAAAAUUCGCCUAAGACCCCAUAUACUCUAAUGCCGACUCUGGGUGAAAUUAUUGAUUUUAUUAAUAAUAAUAUGAUGUAUACUAACCAAUGUACAAAACAGUAGUGGGUGACAUAAAUUAGAAUUGUGUUGCAAAAACAAGAGGUUUGAGUGAAAAAGAAUUUACAAACUCACAUUACAAUGUUAUAUAGUUGCCAUAUGUCUCACAUUUUCAAAUGAACAAAAUAUAAUAAAUACAGUAUAAUCUUUAUAACUGAAUAUUCAAUAGAUUAAUAAUCUCUACUGUGUAAUAAUUUUUUAUGGUCAUGACUUAGGCCAAUAGGUUAAAUUAAUAAUUGCAAUAAAUUAAUAAGAUGAUAUUUUUUAUGAAAACCCUUAUAUAACUAUGUGGCUCCAUUCAUAUCAAAAUUAAUAAUUUUUUAAAAUUAUAAAUAUAAUUGACAAUAAUUUUUUAUUUAUUAAAAUGUGAGUCGAUUAUUAUCUUGUUCCCUUAUUACUUCUUUUCCUUGAAAUAUAAAUCUAUUUGAAUCUCGUAUCUAAUUUUUCUUAUUACAUCUAAAAGUUUUGGGAUUGAAUUCUUGAAUUAUAAUAAAAAAAAAUUAUGAAGUGCUUUCGUACACAUAACUGGCUCCAAAGCAAUUGUAUCAUUCUCAACUUUUAUCAUCGACAUGAUUUUAAGUGAUGUCAGCAGUGGUUUAAUUUAUUCUAAACUUAAAAUCUCUCAACUUACAUCAUUUUUAUUAUGAUAAUCCAAGAGGUAAUUAAGUAGAUAAAUACAAUACAGUUAUUGUUUUGGUUUAUCUAAUAUCUAUUUAGUAGAUUAAUUCAUAUUCAAUAAAUUAGAUUAGUAAAAUAUAACGAAAUUUUAGUUAAUUAAAUGUACGUUUAUUGAACUAUAAAUGAACUCUAGAAAUUAAUAAAUUAUUAAUUUACUAAUUACAUAAUAAUUCUUUUAAUUAAUAAAAUUUAAAUAGUCCCAAUGUUAUUAAUUCAUAGAAGUUAUAUGAAAUAUGUGUCAACUAUAUAAUAUCGUAGUUUGUAAACAAAACAUAACUCUUUUGUUAAUUGAAUACUAACGUAAUGCUAUAGAAAUAACAUAUGUGACCAAUUUGCAUAAAUGUAUACUCUCUGUAUCUUAUUACAAAUGCUUUAUAAAUCAGUGACUCAGAUGUUAUUAUCUAAACUCGUGGAAGCAUUACUUUUGUCCCUGCCAAUAUCAUUCAGAUAAAUAGUUGUUGUGCGUUCAGAUUCACCAGGAAUGCUUACGCAAAACAUAGACUGAACCCAAGAGCUUCGAAACUCGAAACUGAACCAAAUCAUUCUAAUGGAAGAGAAACGCCGGGAAGCCAGAGCGCAACCGGCGGCUACGAGCUCGGCCGCAGCUGGAGCCGAGUCAGCGGCAUCCGAGCCGGCUUCGCUCGGCGCCGAGCCGGAGCGCACAAAAGGAAAGCCUCGGCGCUCUCAGCGACUAACGCUUCAUCCACGCCGUCGAAGCGCAUGACUCGCGAGAAGAAUUUAGUUGCUCACACUCCGAUCUACAACCAUAACGUUACAUCUUGACAUUUGUAGUAAGAACGUGAGAGGAUACCUGGAGUGUAUUGGGAUUUGGGCGGAAGAGAAAGGAGCCCUUGGAAUUGGGAAACAAAUGAAAUUAUCUGCAUGGUCCUUGUACUCGUGGAGGGACUGUAACUUCUGAACCAACAAUGCUGAAAAUGCAGGGUCAAAAAUCAACAUUAACUUGAUGAAUAAUUGUUUGAAAAAAAAAAAAAGCAAGAAAACUUGAUUAAUAUAAAAGAGAGCAAAGGAGCACAACCAUACAGAAGUUGUAUAAAGGAAUAUUAAUCAAGCUUGAUUAAUAUUCUUCUUCUAUCCAACACCACAAGAUGAAACACAGUAUUCCUGUUGCAGUAUAUGGUGAGAACUGUGAAGUGCAGGAAGUAGUUUCCUAAGAGAGAUGAUUGAAUGCUCUUAAUUUUUUUUUUCAGAAAAUCAUUUUAUUUUUAAUAAAAGUUUAAUUUUUUUUAAUAAAAAUUUUUAUUUAUUUUUUAUUAAGUUGUGUCUCAUAUUUACUAAUAAAGGAAGUUAUUUGGGUAUAUAAGUAGGAUGUCUCAUCUAACAUGCUAGUAGGAUAAAUCUCUCAUCUAAUAUGCUAGUAUUUUGGGUUAAAUACCUAUAAAUUCUAAGCCGAGUCCACAACAGUCCCCAAAAUAACUGGAUUUAAGUCCUAGCUACACCAGUAGAUUGAAUAGAAGUGCAAAUAAGUUUAACUUUUUUGUCAUUCAUUUUAGUCUUUUUUUUUUUUUUUUUUCACAUACAUUGAAAAAGGAUAACUCUGUCGUGAUUGCCAUGGCAGAGCCUAUUUCAAACGAUGGUGUAUGCUAAAGGAAAUUAUCAUGAGAUGAGUGAUAAACCAUACAAUCAGUAGCUACAGCCCACGAUUAAUCAGCCACAUGGCCACAAAUAUUAUUGGCGGCAAAUAUAUCAACAAAAUCACAAUAAAGAUGAGCAUCCUCGAUUCCAUUCCUUAAUGUAAAUAGGACAGCCUGUCUAGCCAUUACUUUAAGAGAUUUGGCUGGCUUUGACACUUGUAUAUAAGCUUGUAACCCUCUCAUUCUUUACAAGAAAUAAGAUAAUAUUUUCAGCUUAAUAAUUCUUUUCAGUGAGAUCAAAGAAAUGUAAAGAGAUAUAGUCACUACUACAAAAAUGUAAAACAAUGACCCAUAUGUUAUGACGGUUCUUCUAAACAACCGUCAUUAAAGAUAUUUAAUGACGGUUAUUAUGUGAACAGUCAUAAUAUAUACCACUUAUAAUGACGGUUAUGUAAUAAAACCGUCAUUAAAUGUCAAAUAAAAUUUACACUUAGUUUUAAUGACGGUUCAUUUAUAAAAACCGUCAUUAAAAGUCACUAUUUUUAAUGACGGUUCUUAUAUACAACGGUCAUUAUAUGUGUAGUUAAAAAUAAUAUUACUUUUAAUGACGGUUUUUUAAUAACCGUCAUUAAAAAUAAUAAUUUUUAAUCACGGUUUUUACAUAUAACGGUCAUUAUAUGUGUAAUUAAAAUAGUACUACCUUUAAUGACGGUUUUAAAAAAACCGUCAUUAAUAAUUUUUAAUGACGAUUUUUACAUUAAACGGUCAUUAUAUGUGUAAUUAAAAUAAUACUACCUUUAAUGACGGUUUUGUUAAGAACCGUCAUUAAAAAUAAAUUUAUUUUUAAUGACGGUUCUUAACAAAACCGUCAUUAAAAAUCAUACUUUUUAAUGACCGUUAUAUAUUAUAACGGUCAUUAUAUAUAUAAUUAAAAUGCUUUUAAUUUUAAUGACGGUUCUUUAAGAACCGUCAUUAAAAAUUGACAUUUUUAGUGACAGUUGUAUAAAACAACCGUCAUCGUAUAUAUUGAUAUAGUUAUAAAAAAAAAAAAAAAAUUGGCCUUAUACUGAACACCAAAUCCCUAAAAUUACAGAUAAUUUGUAAACAUUAAAAGUAAUGGCGCAAGCACGCACGCCGCCGGUACACUUAGCCCAUGCAGCAGCAACCGAGCACGGUAGCAACAGGCCACCAGCAGUCGCUCUCUCUCUCACGCACACGCAGCAGCAAGCCAACACCAAUAGCCCCUCUUUCUCAUGCUCACUCUCUACUAUGCCCUCUUACGUACUCAAGAAAACUCUAACCCAUAUCCAAACCCUCGCCGUCGAAGAAAACCCAAUCCUUAAUGGCUUGAAAUUAAAGCCUCCACCGUCAAUCACCAUCGAACCAAAUAAACUCUAGCCUUACCAUCACUCUUCGUUUGACUCGCUGAAGAAAGCACUCUAUUAGGUGAGUCUCUGUUGUUUGAUAAUAUAUCUGCACUCUUUGUUGGCCGAAGCUUUUAGACAAUUGCUUUGAUUCAAUUGCUUCGAUUGGUUAGUUCUCUGUGAUUAAUUAGUUAGUUACUUUUAAUUUCAUAUUUUCAUCUCUAACAGUGAAUUUGGGAGUCGAUUUCUCUGUCGGAUUUGUAAUUUUUGCUACAGAUCAAAAACAUCUUGAAGGUGUUUUCAUAUCUAACAACUUGAACUAUCAUUUAUUUUGUCUUGUUAAUGUUCAAUUUUUUUUUCUUUUUUUAUUAGUAUGACAAUUAGUCGAAUGUGCUUGCACAUAAAACAAUCUUUUAACUUGGCGUUGGAAUAUUUGUUUUGAGUUGUGUCCCCUUAAUCAAUGACCAUACAAAAGUUCCCCAUGAUAAAGUGUUUAGCCCUAUUAAUGCCAUAAAGUCUUGCUCUCAAUUUUUCUGAUUAUGCCUAUGGAUUGAUUACCUAUUUCAUUUACAAAUUCAAUUGGCAAAUGUACAAUGCCUGCAUGACACUCACAUUUGGGUUAUGAUGGUAGUCAUUAUGAGGAAGAAUGUUAGAAUAACAUCAGGGGAAACAUCUGGGAGAAGGUAUGUACUGUCAAGCUCUUUGUUAGAAUCAUCACGAAAUUUAUAUUGGAUCUUGGCUGUUCUAUGUGAUGCAUUUUGGAUUUGCUCUUACUAGACAUGCAAAAACCUGUAAAAUGUAUUUUUUUUUUCCAUUUUAGAUUUACUAUCUAGUAUCUUGUAGGUUUAAUCUAAAAUAGAAACCAUUGAGGAUACUGGACACAAUUCUAAUGAAGAGAAAAGAUGUUAGACUUUAGUAUUCAACCUUUUUUUUUUAGCCAUAUUUCUAGACCCCAAGUUUAUGUCAUGAUAAUUGUGUGAUUGAUAAGAUAUUUUGGUUUUGGACUUUAUCUCAUGGAUUUAGAGUUCGAUUAUAUUUGGAAGUGGAAUAAUGCAUUCAUUUACAUAUGAUGUUUGAUGAAGUUCCCAUAAAAUUAAUUCAAUUAUAUAUGUUUAUGGUUCUAAGGAAGCGGGGCAAAAAUUUUAUCAGUGGGUUGAUUUCACUAGUUUAAGUUAGUAAAGCAAAGAAAUUGUCUUUAUGCACUUUAACUUUCCUCCAUUUAAGGUGAAAAAAUUAUUGAAGCUUUUAGAAGUGAAUUGUUCAUUUUGUUUGUGCACUUAUGCAGAUGGAUUUACUUUUGGCUGCUUAACCCUUCCUCACUUAUAUUUUUUCAGUUUAAAUUGCAGUGUUUUGCUGCUGUGCAACAGCACAAGAGGCUGUUUUAUUGUUGUUUCUGUAAAAACACAGCACCAGGAAGCGUCCAGGUAAUGUUUCGCUGCUGUUAUGCAGUAAAAACAACACCUGAAAGUUUCUAGGUGCUAUUUUUACUGCUGUUUACGCAGAAACACAGCACCUAAAAGUGUCUCUAGGUUCUGUUUAGCUGCUAUUAUGCAGCAAAAACAGCACCUGGAAACUUCCAAGUGCUGUUUUUAUUGCAUUUUAUGCAGAAACAAAGCACCUAGAAGCAUUCAAGGGUUGCUUUACUGUUGUUUUGUAUUUAAAAUUGCUGUUAGAAAUUUUGGGUGCUAUUUCUCUGAAAUUUUGCUAUUAACAGUGCAGCUUAAUAAUUUCAUAUGUCGUUUUGAACCUUCUUCAGUUCUUUUCUCUUAUGUCUAUACUUAAUCUUUUCCCCCCUGGUAAUAAGCAGGUACAAUUUUUGCAAGGUAAUAUCUAAGCAUGCUGUUAAUUCUUUGGUUGAGACGUAGUAUUCUAAACUUCAGGCCUUAAUUUUUUUAUUUCCAAGUGUAUAAUGGGUAGGUACUGGAUCUCUUAUGGAUGAUGUAGUUAAUGCUUUUUUAUUGUCUCUAUUUUGGCAAAUGUGUUGUCAUUUAUUAUCUGAACACAUGGUUGAUUAACUUACUUGAGGUAAGUCUAUUAAUUAAUAGUGAUAUGAUACUUUAAAGUCUUGUUUUACAACUUAAGUCACUAAAAUGAUUUAAUAUUUAUGAUUUAUAAUAUAUGAAUAUAUCUUAAUUUCUCUUUAUUCUUUGUAAGAAUGAUGUAGAUUGCUGAAGCUGGUGAGAUUCAUUUGCAAUUGAAGACUUGAUGAGAAAUUAGAUGUACUCACACAUGCCAAUCUUGUUGGUUGCUAGUGCAUUCACUAGUAGAAGUUUAAUGAUUGUUGGAGAUUUUUGUAGAGCUAUCUCUUUGUAAAUGAAACAUUUGCAUCAUUUUGAAUAUGAAACAUUUGUGAAAAAUAAUUGUAAAGAAUUUAAUAUGAAAUUAGAAUUAAAAUAGGGGCUUGAAAUAGCCUUAAAUUUGCCAAAUUUAUUUUUUUAAUAAUAAAUAACAAAGAUGACGGUUAUUUCAAAAGAACCGUCAUCAAAUGUAGUGUUCUAUAACAAAUAUGACGGUUUUCUUCUAAAACCGUCAUUAAAUGUUGUUUCAAUAUUUAAUGACGGUUCUUACAAUAAACCGUCAUUAAAAUGACACAUUUAAUGACGAUUAUUUAGAUAAACCGUCAUUAAAGAUAGAUAUUUAAUGACGGUUCUUACAAUAAACCGUCAUUAAAAUGACACAUUUAAUGACGGUUAUUUAAAUAACCGUAAUUAAAAAUAUACAUUUAAUGACGGUUAGUGAACCGUCAUAAAAAACAUACCCUCUUUAAUGUCGGUGCCUAAGAUGACGGUUUUAAAACCGUCAUCUUAUGUCGUUUAAAACCGUCAUAAAAGACCAAUUUUGUAGUAGUGAGUCUAUUAGGUUGGCAAAUCUACUGAAACAAUAUUGUUUCCUAUCAACUCCGAAAUACAACCAAUUGAACAACGUUCAGAAAUCGAAAAUCAUUUAUUACCAGUAAGAUUUAUUAUUAUACGCUAUACAUAUGGCUUUAACAGUCACAUUACCAAUACAUUUUUAAUCAUGGUAGGUAGGUGCUGGAAUGUAUACAAUAUUAUCAGCCUGGAAGAAAUGGCAGACAUGGGAGCUCCCUGGCUCGAUCCCAAGCACACGAAACGAUGCAUGAUCUCGACUCCAAUGAGACGUAUCCAUGUGGCAAACUGCUACAGCUUCCACUCUAUCUCCAUUAUCACCACCUAAUGAAACACCGAAUAACUUGUUCUCAGUCAUUUGGCUGUGGCAGUAGAAGAUUGCAUAAGGGUAAGGCAUGAUAUGACAUGCCACCAUCUUGGGAGCAACCAUUGGUUUAGGCACUUGUAAAAUAGUGUAAUUUUGGAAAAUGGUAGCUGAUUUUGUGAGAAAUUUUGUGCUUAGAACUUCGAAUUUGGUCUCCAAUCCGAAAGUUCCGUGUACAAAAUCAAGCAUGGAUUCCAAAGAGGUAGCACAAAUUUUGGUUUCUCCUUCGAUGGGAGGAACUUCGCAAUGAUUCAGGGUCCCUUCCAUGGCUUUGGCUAGGGGUGAGUCAUCUGAGAACGAGAAGAAUUGAAGAAGGUAAGGCAGUUGUUUCAAUGAAAAUGGAAUGGAAUCUGCUUCUUCUCUAGGCAAAGCCUGAGGAUAAGCUGAAGGAUCUCUCUUGCGAAAAAUAAAUCGGCAUCGUUUCGCCAAUCUUUAGAUCCUUCAAGGUGAAGAACACCAUCGUUGAAGGGUCCAUGUGAUUCAUGUGGGAUGGUAUUGAAUGAGAAUCAUGAAGAUUCUCCGAAAGCACCUGAGCACACUGUAAAACAGUUGAGCAAUUCAAUAUGACAACAUAGAUGAAAAAUCAACAACACAAGUUCUAUAAAGUGUAAAACUGAAGGAGCAAAAUAUAUCUUUUUGAGUUAUUGCUUUAAGACAACACUUAUGUACAUCUAUUGCAAAGUAAGCACUUCCUUAGCACACAUUGAGGAUUAUUACCAGAAAGAGUAGAGAAAGAAGGAGGUUCCAAACUGAAAAUCUUAACCCCAUCUCUUUUCUAUUAUCGAAGUUUCUUAUGUAUUUUAGUAAUCUUUUUGUUUUUUUUUUUAAGGGAGAGGAAACACAGAUAACAAGUGAAGCAGAAAGAGAAGAGAUUGUGUAACUGUAUAUGUCAACAACCAAAUGAUGUGUGUUAAUUUUCAAGUGGAAAUUUAUAGCCUGCAUAAGCUGAACUUGUUCUACUGUGCUGAUUAAUUGAAUCACAACACAGUUUGAAUAAUGACCUUAAUAGUCCAAUCCAGCAAAGAAUUCAGCACUCCAAUCAUUUGGGGACACACGUAUUGCACCUUCAUCAGGUCUGCGGAUUUUAAUAGUUUUGACUGAGUGAAUGAUUACUUCAAUUGAUAACAUUGCAUAUUAGAUUACCAGACCUAAAAUUGAUUUCUUAUUAAAAAAUUUACUUGCAAUUUGGAAACUCUCUUUGACACAUUAAUUACAGACUCGAAAUCUGUAUCAAUAUUCCCCAUACAUAGACAGAACUGAGCAUAAAAAGUGGGAAGGCAGAUCGUAAACAAAUUCGACAUGGUAGUUUCCAAGGAUGAAUAGCAUUUUUUUCAUUCAAAAAUGGGAUAAUAUAUCCUUCAGUCACGUAAUGUACACUAAGGCGGCGUUUGGUUGGGAGGAGAGAACAAAGAAGAGGAAAGUAAUUUAAAUUUUCUUUUUAUUUUCAUUGUUUGGUUUGAUAAAAUAUAUAAGAAUUUAAUUUCCAUUAGAAUUUAAUAUCCAUCAUAAUUUGAAUUCCACACCAAGUAGUGAAGAAUUUAAAUUCCUCUUAUGUUAGAAACUAAAGUUUCCAAAAUUACCCUUCAACUUGUUUAAUGUCAUUAAUAAUUAUUAUUUAAUAUUAUAAAUGGAUCACCGCCGGAAAGUCGCCGGACUACCGCCGGAAAGUCACUGGAAAGUUACCGGGCCACCUCGGAAUGUUGCCGGAAAGUCACCAGACCACUGCCGAAAGUUGCCGGACGUCGCCAAAAUCCUGCCGAACGUUGCCAUAAGGUAGUUUCCAAGGAUGAAUAGCAUUUUUUUUUCAUUCGAGAAUGGGAUAAUUUAUCCUUCAGUCACGUAAUGUACACUAAAGCUCUUCUCAACCUAGUGUGCGUCGGAUAUGUGAGCGUCGGGGCUCCAAUCUCCCGUACAAUCUUUAAAAUUUUGUUUGGUCAAAUUAACAGGCUGCACUCACUGUAUUUCCAUGGAUCACACUACUUCAACUAAAAGAUAAGAUAAUAAGUAUCUUUAGGAUUUUACUGAAUGAUUUUUAAGUAGUUUUUAUUAAUUAAUUAUUCAAAUUCGAAUUAAAAAAAGACUAAAAAAUUCAUCUGAAUUUUUCUCACUCCCAAUCUUUAAAAAUAAAACAAAUAAUAAGUCAUAUAAACAAUAUUUUAAAUGCAAUUUUCACUUCAAACAUAUUUCAUUUGAAGUUUAAUUAUAUUCUCCGAUGGAACCUGGAUAAGUUGAAAAAAAAUUUAUUAAUAAAAAAAAUGUACAUCUAAUUGUCUAACGAUGGGUCAAGAACAAAAGGUUAAAAGAUAAUAUACGUGGACAUGAUAAUGCAGAAACCGAAAAUCAAAAGGGCACGAGUUUCAAAUGCUAGACAAAUGAAAGAGACGUGUGAUUGCAGGUCGAUUUUCUUCUCAUCACUAGCCACUAGUGUUGUGCGCGGAAUGCGGAAUCAAGCGCACCAAAUAAUUAUUGAAAAAUAAAGGACACAAGAAUUUACGUGGUUCGGUAAUUAAACCUACAUCCACGGAGACAAGAAAGAAUAAUUGUUUAUUUAACAAUUAAUAGAAUACAAUAUUUGAGUAACGAAUCUCACUUCCCAGAAAACCCAAAUAUACCCAGUACUCUCACACUCUGCAAGAAAGAUAAAUUCCCCAGACACACUUCUCUCACUUCUCUCAAAAGCUUAGAAACUUAUAAGCUUGACAAUUUUGGGAUGAUUUCAAAUGAAUGAAAUCCUUAGCUAUUUAUAGACUUGAAGCUAGUAUUAUUCCACCUAACCCAAGUACUAUUUCACCUAACCCAAGCACUAUUCCACCUAACCCAUGCAAAUAUGUCAAUGGUGUCCAUUUGGCAAAUUUGACAAAUUUGCCAACUUUCCAUUUUUUCUUCAAAUGUUUGGUAGCUCUUUGAAAAAUUGCCACAUGCAUGACUUUUCAACAAUUCUCCACCUCGGCGAAAAUUUGUCCAAAUCUGAGCCGACUACCAACGAACCCUCAUCCCCAAAGUGAUCCUUCAAUAAGGAUCCAGAAUGACUGUGUCGAUUCGACUGUCUACGUACCCAAAAUUUGGGAUCAAGCCAACCGUAGUUCAAAAAUUCUCCAAACUCAACGCAUUCGAAGAAUUAGUUUCAAUCCGUAUAAAGAUUUACUCAAUCUGCACACACGAUUUUCCUUUCCAGCAACUCUGAAACCACAAGGCUGAAUCAUAUAGAUUUUCUCCUCUAAAUCUCCAUGUAAGAACGCCGUCUUAACAUCCAACUGAGCUAACUCUAACUCAUAUUCUGCAACUAAGGCAAGUAGGAUACGAAUGGAAGUAUGUUUUACAAUUGGAGAGAAAACUUCAUUGUAGUCCAUACCUUCCUUUUGAGCAAAACCUUUUGCCACGAGCCUUGCCUUGUAUCGAGGAGUUGUUUGAUUCGGAGAUCCUUGCUUUUUGGUGUAGACCCAUUUAUUGCCAAUAGCCCUUUUCCCCUUUGGUAACUUUACAAGUUCCCAAGUCUGGUUUUGAUGGAGAGAUUUCAUCUCUUCCUCCAUGGCUAGCUUCCACUGAUCACUUUCAUUGCUGCGUAAUGCUUCACCGAAAGUAUUGGGGAUGUCAUCAUCAAUAACUGAAAGUGCAUAGGCUACCACCAUAUCUUUAGUAAGCCAUCCGGGUUUUUUUAUCUCUCUUUUUGGCCUCCUUGUUGCUAUAAAAUCAUCAUCAUCUACAUCAUCAAUUGUUUUUUCAUUUUGUGGGACAUCAGAAGAAACAACCUCUUCUUCAACUUUAGGUGUCACCUCCAUAGUUGAACCAUUCUUUGAUGUAGAACUAACUUGUACAUAUGGAGUUGCAUCAAACUCCACCCGCUGCAAUACCUCUGUGGUCUUGUUCUCCACCUGCUGAGAACUUGAAGCUUUUAUCAUUGAAGCUUCAUCAAAUGUGACAUCUCCGCUACACACAAACUUUUUGUCUUCGAGAUCCCAAAGCUUGAAGCCCUUUACUCCACCUUUGAAUCCCACAAAGAUAGAUUUUUUAGCACGAGGAUCCAGUUUACCAUCUUUGACAUGAUAAUAAGCUGGACACCCGAAUACACGAAGGGAAUCAUAGUCUUGUGCAUGCUUUCCAGACCCCAUUUCCAUAUGAGUUUUACCUCCAAUUGCAGCAGAAGGCAACCGAUUUACCAAGUGACUUGCGUAGCUCACAGUUUCAGCCCAAAACUUUUUAUCUAAACCAGCAUUAGAUAACAUACAUCGUACCUUCUCCAGUAAAGUACGAUUCAUACGCUCAGCCACACCGUUCUGUUGCGGAGUAUGUCUCACCGUGAAAUGUCUUUUAAUACCCUCGUUCUGGCAUACUUGCAAGAAUGGAUCAGAAGUAUAUUCACCCCCAUUAUCAGAUCGUAAUACUUUGAUCUUUCUGCCAGUUUGAGUCUCCACCAAUUUCUUCCACUUCACGAAAAUCUUUAGAACCUCAUCCUUUGCUCGCAUGGUGUACACCCAUACACGUCUAGAGAAAUCAUCAACAAAUAUAACAAAAUAAUGGCUUCCACCAAUUGAUGCAGUCUUGGUUGGUCCCCAUACAUCACUAUGAACAUAUUCAAGGAUCUCACGAGUAUCGUGAUUAGCUGUACCAAACUUGACCCUUGUUUUCUUGCCUACUACACAAUGCUCACAGAAAUUUAAUUUACAGGUUUUGGUACCUUUUAAGAGUCCAUGCCUCAUCAGAGUUUGCAAAGACUUCUCUCCUGCAUGUCCCAGUCGUACAUGCCAUAGCUUGGUGGUGUCACUGUGCGCCUCAACAACAUUUGCUUCAUCAGUUGUACCUCUCUUCAAAUAGUACAAAUUGUGACGCCGAACCCCUUGCAGAAUCAUCAUAGCCCCAUGUGUAAACUUCAUUGUGCCAUCUUCAAUGGUAACUUUGUAACCUUUAGCUUCCAAAGCACCCACAGAAAUUAGAUUUUUCUUUAUCUCUGGAACAAAUCUAACCUAUUUGAGUUCUCUGACCAUUCCAUCAAACAUUUUGAGCCGAAUUGUUUCUAUCCCCAUUGUGCGACAAGGUUGAUUAUUCCCCAUCAUAACUGCACCGGAUUCCAGAUUACGAAAAUCCGUAAACCAUUCCUUAAUAGGACACAAAUGAUAGGUUGCUCCAGUAUCAAGUGUCCACUCACUCGAACUAGCCACGUAUGCUGCAGGAGUAAUACUUAGUGAAUAAUCAGAGUUCUCAUCUUUCCGUGCCAUGUUUACUGCUGCUGGUUUCUUCCCAUCUCUCUUUUGAGCCUUUGGACAAUCUUUUCUCCAAUGACCCUUUUCAUGAAAAAAGGCACACUCAUCUCGAGCUAUAUUUCUGCUUCUUGAUUUGGAUCAAGAAUUCAUUCCACCACGGUUCUUCUGUUUCUCCAUCGCCCAAUCUCUGCUCACCAAAGCUUCAGACGAUGCUCGUUCAGAAUUUUUAUCAUUAUUCUGAAUCUCCAAACUAGUCAAUGCUGUGCAAACAUCUUUAAAGACGAUCACACUCUUCCCAUAUAUCAAAGUAGUCACAAAAUGGCUAUAUUCCUCUGGUAGUGAGUGUAACAGAAUCAUAGCCUUAACUUCAUCUUUAAUAUCUUCAUCAAGAUUCUUCAAAUCAGCAAGUAACUUUUCAAAUCUUGAAACAUGAUCGUGCAUUGACACCCCAGGCUUCAUUCGAAAACCAUAUACUUGGCUCAUUACAUGAAGGCGAUUUUCAGGACUUUUCACCAGGUACUUCUCCUCCAAUGUACGCCACAAAGUCACCGCACACUCCUCAUCUUUCACCAAGUAUUUCACCUCCUUGGUCAAACAAGAUCUGAUAUGACCACAAGUUUUUUCGUUCAUACGAUCCCAAAUUUCUUCAUCAUACAAGUGCCUUUUAUUUUUUAGAACAACAUCGAGAUCGAUUUGAAUAAGGGCAUCCAUAACUUCGCGCCUCCACAUGCCGAAGUUGAUUUUCCCAUCAAACUUUUCAACAUCGAUCUUUUGGCCUCCUAUAACAUGUGCUGAAUAGCGAUUUGAUAAAUCUCGCCUCCCACCUGAAGUGUCUCCUGAAAUAGUCUCGGUAGAUAUCUCCCUAAUUCUGGAAGUUUCACCUUCUACCAUUUUCUCAACGAACUAUUUCCACUUAAAAAACAGUCUCUAUGAUGUUAAUUUCGCGUGAAUAAAUGCACCAGGAAAGUUCCCAGGAAACUGGACGGGAACUCGGUCCCAAUUAAAAACCAGAAUCCUUAGACUCUUAUCGCCUUUUUUGACAGAACUUUCCUAGACAUGCAAAAAUACACACUACUUACAAUAGACUGUCUCCCAAGUACAAAUGGCCGUCUCCACCGUAUUCGUAAAUAGUGCCGUAUAUGUGAACAGUACCGUAUACGUGAACAAUACCGUAUACGUGAACAGUACUGUAUCCCCCCAAGUACGAACCGUCGGCUCUGAUACCACUUGUUGUGCGCGGAAUGCGGAAUCAAGCGCACCAAAUAAUUACUGAAAAAUAAAGGACACAAGAAUUUACGUGGUUCGGUAAUUAAACCUACAUCCACGGAGGCAAGAAAGAAUAAUUGUUUAUUUAACAAUUAAUAGAAUACAAUAUUUGAGUAACGAAUCUCACUUCCCAGAAAACCCAAAUAUAUCCAGUACUCUCACACUCUGCAGGAAAGAUAAAUUCCCCAGACACACUUCUCUCAAAAGCUUAGAAACUUAUAAGCUUAACAAUUUUGGGAUGAUUUCAAAUGAAUGAAAUCCUUAGCUAUUUAUAGACUUGAAGCUAGUACUAUUCCACCUAACCCAAGUACUAUUUCACCUAACCCAAGCAUUAUUCCACCUAACCCAUGCAAAUAUGUCAAUGGUGUCCAUUUGGUAAAUUUAACAAAUUUACCAACUUUCCAUUUUUUCUUCAAAUGUUUGAUAGCUCUUUGAAAAAUUGCCACAUGCAUGACUUUUCAACAACUAGCACACAUCCCCUUAAUCAAAAUCUUUUUCAAUAUUGUUUAUUAUAUAAAUGGAUAUUGGUAGUGGUUGAACUUCUAUUAUUUAAUUAUGUUGUCAUUUUCCAUCACUACAACAACAGAUGAUUCAAGUAGGAUCGAUCAAUAAUUGUCGCCCAAUGUUUUGUCUUUUUCAUAAUUUAGUUAUUUUUGUUCAUAUGUCUGACGAAGAAGUUUUAAUUUUGCAAGAGGAAUUCAAGUUGAUAAGACCUUGUCGACUUGUCUUCUGCUGAAGAAUCUUGAAUAAUCAUGCCAAAUUCAAAAAGUGGCAAAAGCAAAAGGCUAAGUUCUUAAUGAAUUCAAUAUUAUUACGAAUUUGGUGCUAGCUCAAUCUUGAAAAUGAUCCAAAAAUUAAAAAGUAAACAUAUAAUAAUCACAUCUACAAAUGUACAUUAUUAGUGAGUCAUUGAUGAUAUCCCAUCACGAAUUCAUUAGCUGACUAAUUAAAGAUACCACGAAAAUAUUAUAUCAUUAGCUGGUCUAAAAAAGUAGUCAAUAAGAAAAUGAAAGGUAAAUUCAUAAAUUUCAGCCGGAAUUUUUUUUUUUUUUUUAAAAGGACCAAUAAUUGUAGGAAAUGGCUAGCUUCUUAUCCUCUUCACAAAAGAUUAAAUCCUCUUGAAAAGGUUUGUUACUGAAAUACAUAUCAUAUUACACCAACACUCUCUAUUACCAUAUGAAUUUAGAUCUUCCCCUAACUUAAUAUUUCAUAUAAUAUUGUAGGAAUAAUCUUCAUCACCGGAGAUUAGGAUCUUCUCCUAACUUAAUAUCUCAUAAGUGUUGUAUGAGAUUAUUUAGCUCAUGUCAUUAUAUUUUUCUAAAGCUAGGAUUUAAUUUACUUUAUACUUUCCUUAUUAAACAUUAAAACCAAUAAUUUUCUAGGCUAAGUAAAACCAUGAAAUUCAAGUGUGCCGCUUUCUAACCAAACUGCUGCUUCUUUCUCUACCGUUUUUUUUUUUUUUUUUUGGUCACAAACUUUAAACUGUGGUAUAUAUAAACUUGAGCAAAGAAGCAUUAUUGGUAGGAUUGGCAAUGAGACGGGAUGGGAUGAGAUUUACCAAUCCCACUCCCGUCCCGCAUAUAUAAUUGAGAUAAAAAAAUGUCUCACUCCCAUCCUUCAAUUUUUUUAUGGGACCAAAAUAUAUCCCAAUCCUGUCCCAAAUUGCCAUCCCUAAUUAUUGGCAAUUCAUUCUUUUAAGAAUUGUUUAUGUAAUGGAAUCAGACCAGAACAGAAUGCAUUAUUGUUCGAUAUACGUAGUCUACAAUAACAAUUGAAGACACCUGAAGAUAAUAUCAAUUAUAGACAAUUGUUAUUGCAAUAUAUUCAAUGCAUUGUUGCUAUCGCUUGUCUGCAAUUAAUUUUAUAUAAAUUAAGCUGAUAUAUCUCAUUUCAGUGUACUAAUAAUUAAGUUGAACGUUGAUGCAGCUACUGCUAUUUCCAGGAACACAGCUUUCUAGGAGCCAUUAUUCGUAAUGUGAGAAGGGAGAUUAAUUAUGGCAGUAGCUAUCUAAAGUAAAAUUUUGGAGAUCUUGAAUUCGCAGAAGCAGAAGCAAUGAGAUUUGGGAUCGAAAUAUGCAAACGGCACAGGUCUAUUUCCAUUCAUUAUUGAAUCAGAUACUAAGAAUGUUGUCAAUCUUGCUGCAGCACUUGAAAGUACUAGAAAAGAGAUUCUUUGAGUGAUAUAUCUCUGAUAUUUAAUUGUUGGCUAGACAACUGGCAAUUUCAAAUUUGUAUUCAUUCCUAGAAUAUGUAACGUGGAAGUUCAUAGAUUAGCUAAACUUGCAGUUAGCGAUCAGAAAGCCGUAUUGUUUGGAUUGAGAAUAUUCCUAUAGAUGUAAAAUCUUAUCAUUUUUGAAGAAUUUUUUACUUUGAAAAUAAAAUAAUUAAGGGCCAUCUCUAUCGUUGCGAAUUGUAACUCGUAGACUUUGCGGUCCACAUUAUGAAUUUAAAAUUCUUGCAUGAUUAAUCACCCACAUGAGCAUGCUCCCCCAACCUGCCACAUCAUGUUACCACUUCUUCCAAUCUGUGUAUACACACACACACACACACACACCAGUAUGGCCUCCAUGCAAAUCACAAACGCAGUAUCUAAUAUUGUUUGUCACUGGCAAGAAACAUGAAUAUUAAAGCCUUCUUUGUUCUCUCCACAGUGCUCUCAUUGCUUCUCUUGUUAUGUAUCAUUUGAUCAGUAAUAAUGUUAGGUUAAUCACAAAUUCAUUAUAUAAAAUAUUUUGUACAAAAUUGAUAACACAUAAUGUACAGUAUCGAUGUGAUAAGAACACCACACAACCCGAUCAUUAUUUUAUAUUUCCAUUCAACCAAUACUAUUUUAUCACAUCAGCUUUAAGAGUAGCUUAAUUAUAGCUAGCUCUAGCAUUACUCGUUUUGAUUCAAAUGAUUUUCGAAUUUUUAUCAUUUGCAUGGUCAAUAUAUAGUUCCUCUCUCUUUUUUUUAUUUUUUAUUAAUUGUUUUCCUUGUGUGCAGUUUGCCAACAUGAUAGAUGCAAGAAAAUACCAUGGAGACGAUUGGAGUAUUGUCGUGAAAAAUCAAGACAUGCCUUGGGAAUCAACUCAAGGUCUCAUUCCCGAAGUUCAAGGCCCGACCAUCUCUAAAACCAAAGCCUAUUGCCAUACACAUGAUGAUUCUGAGCACACCAUGGAGAAGCCUUUUGUCAAUAAGAACUUUGAGCUGAUGCCUGAUGUUUCAAUCUAUGACAACGGUAUUAAGCCAACCAAACAAAAGGCUUUUGCCAAGCACUUCGAGUUCUUGCCUGAUGUUUCAAUUUACGACAACGGUAUUAAGCCAACCAAACAAAAGUUCUUCGCCAAGGACUUCGAGCUCAUGCCUGAUGUUUCUAUUUAUGACAAUGGUGUAAAGCUAGCCAAACAAAGGUUCUCCGCCAAGGACUUCGAACUCAUACCUGAUAUUUCAAUUUAUAACAAUGGUGUAGAGCUAGCCAAACAGAAGGCAUUCGCCAAAGGCUUCGAGCUCAUGCCUGAUGUUUCAAUUUAUGACAAUGAUAUUAAACCAACGAAGAAGAGUUCAUAUGCCAAGGACUUUGAGCUGAAGGCUGAUAUUUCAAUUCAUGAACCGACCGAACAAAAAUAGGUAAUUAGCAUUACGGAUCUGCAGCCAGAUGCUACAAUUUAUCAUAAUUAAAUAGAUGAUCAUGCUUGUAAUCAGGCGCAGGAUGGAGUCUCUUACCAUAUUUAAUGUUCUAGAAGAGUAGCCACAUACGUGCAAUAACGCUUUCCUUGUUUGUGUGUGUUGUCAAAAGCGCUGUUUCUAAAGUAAUGUAAUAAGUGCUGAAAUAACCCAUGCAAUAAAAUCAUGUCAUGCGUCUUUAAUUUUUUUUUUCUCUCUCUCUUAAACAAUCUUAUGAUAGAUUAUUUACAAGUUAUAAUUUAUAAAGAGAGAAACUAUAUUAAAAUAAUGCUUUUUACAUAAAUAUUCUAUCCAUUAAUCUCGUAUAGCUAAUUAAGUUUGUUUUUUUUUUUUUUAUUUACAACGACAUCCUUAGAUGUUUAAAUUGUUUUUUUUUUAAAGGUAAAAGGGUUGGGUCAAUCAAAAUUAAUUUUUUCACCCUGAUCUCUUUGAGAUUCGAACUUAGGUGGCUAGCUAACUAAGAUUAUUUGAAACCAUUCGGUUGGGUUUCUAGGGGCCUUGGAUGUUUAAAAUUUGUAUUUUGAAUUGUUAUUCAGAUGGAACAAUAUAAUUAACUUUAAUUUCAAAGUCAAUUUGACCCUAUUUAAUUUUGAGAUGCUGUUACUUUUAAACUAGCUACUUGGGAAAAAAAAAAAGUCGUAACCUUAAAAUAAAAAGUGAUACUGUGUGGAAAAUAUGAUUUUAAAUAAUAAUUUUGACAAAAUAGCAAAGAAAUAUUAUUUAAAUUAUUAUUACCAGCCAAACAAAAAUAGGUUUUUUAUUAUACAAAUGCAAGAUCAAAUCAACUUAAUUUUUGAGUUACAACAACUACUACUUACUAAACACUUUGAUGUCAAUACCAAAUAGGCCUCUUUUUUCCUCUCCCUCUCUAAUUUGUAAGACUACCCAACCAUAUAUUGUAUAAUAUUCAAUUAUUAUAUUAACUAGUUUUAUUUUCUUAUGAUCACAUGAUAUCUUUUUUUUUUUCAAGAAUCUGAACAGAUAAUGGUUUUAAAGCUCAGAAGUAGAUCUGAUUCUAAAUAUUUGGAAAUUGAAAAAAAAAAAAAAACUAAUUCACAUUUGCAGAAGAAGGUAUGUACUUGAUAACUUGAACGCCAUGAUGGUAUAUAAUUAAAUUUAACUAUUGUUAUAUUUUUAUUUAUUAAUCACUAAUUAUUCACGAUGAAUUUUAUUUGAAUAAGUUCAUAUCAUGAUAGAAUCUUAAUUCAAAUACAUAUGAAAAAAAAAAAUCUAUGACUGCACUAAUAAGAUAUUUCAUUUAAUCAUGUGAUAUUAAAAUGAAAAUUAUGAUAGAUAAACUUAAAUUUUCCAUUUUCCCCCCUUUAUCAUCUCACAUGGGCCACUUCAAUUCGCUGAAAUCCUGAUGCUUCGGCCUCCAGAUGUAAAAGAACAUGAGUCACAUAUAGUAUUGGUAGAUGCGUGAAUGGAUCACAUCUCACUCAACCAACAAAUUGCAUGUCAUCUGGAAAAUGAUUUAAAUAAAUGAACAAAUACUCAGUCCUCUAUUUUAAGUUAAGUAUUUGUUUAUUCCUUAUAUUUUAAAAAUAUCUCAAAAUAAGUUGUAGUUAAAUAUAUUACAUUCUUAAUCUUGUUUUUGCUUUGCUUUUAUAAUAAUGCCCUUAUAAUAAUAUUCUUGACAUUAAUUAAUUUAUCUAUAAAAUUUUAAUUAGAAAAUUAACCAAUAAUUAUUUAGUAAUAAAUUAACCAAUAAAUAUUAGUACAAAAGAACUAAUAUUUUUUGUACAUGUGCGACAAUCGUGCUAAUAAUUUAUUUAUAAAUAAAAUUAAUAUUAGUCAACUUAAAGUAAUGCUUAUCAUCCUUGCAAUAAUUUUACUAAUAAUUAUUUUAUAAAAAAUUAAUUUACCAAAUUAAUCCUAAAAGUAAAAUAAUAACAUAAAAAAAAAUUACUGUAAAAAUUUUUAUGCUACUUUGAAGGCUAAUUUGAUAAAGAAUGGAACUACUAGCACUCCUUCAAAAUCUUUUUUAAGACCCCUUUUUAAAUACACCCAAUCAAAUAAAUGAAAAAUUAUAUCACUUCUAAAAACAACCAUCUUUAUUCCACAAUUGUCCUUCAAUCUUAUCUCUCAUAAAAUGAUAAAAUUACAAAAAUAAAAAUCUUUUUGUGGAUACUAUUGCAAUAAUGAUCAUUAGCAUUCUUCACAAAUUUGAUUAACAAGUAUGGAAUGGUAUGUAACUUUAGAUUUCUAAAUUUUAACUUUUCUUUAUGUUUUGCAACAAAUAUACCUUCUAUUUUAAUAUAUGAUACCUAUUAAUUUAAUUUUUUUCAAAUAACAAAACUCACUUGUUCAAACAAACAAUGAGACCAAAAAAAGCAAGGGAAAAAAAGUGAACAAAUAAAAGGUAGAACUACUUGACACAUAAAAACUUUAAAAAAAAAUGAAAAAGAAGAGAUCUAGUAAAAGAAGUAUGAGUAUAAAAUAAGCCAGGCAAUGAAAGAAUCAUAGCUUUUCGACAAAUUCCAUGUCAAUGUCCUUUUGGAAUAAAUUUUUAAUGUUAUCUAUUUGAAUAAUGAUGGUGGUUGAGUUUCCACUUUCCAUUAUGCUCUCGAAUGUAAGCUUCUGAUGCGUCUUCUAAAAUAAUUCUAGAUAUUUUAUUUUAAAUUUAUUUGAAUUUGUAAGUUACCCUUUUAAUUGCGGUUAUCAUGUAAACAAUUGUUGCCAAAUCAUAAACAAAAUCCUGAGUAGGGACGAUAAUGGGACGGUUUUGAUCGAUGAUCCACUUAAUCUAAAUCUAAAUUUAUCAUAUUUGGAUCAGUAUAAAAUGAAUUUGGAGUGGGUACAUAUGAAUCUAGAUGAGUAAAUUCAAAACAAAUUUAAAGCACGUAUACAAAUCUAACUUAAAAUUCGGAUCCGUAUCCAUAUCUAAUUAGAAAUCUUUUAAUUUUAUUUUAUUUUUAAAAGUAUUAAACUAUCGAUGGUUUAAUACUUUUACAAUCAAAUUAAACUUAUACCUAGCUUACUGAAAUCAUACCACAUUUAUGAGAUGCAAUAUAUUAUCAGUUUUAUAUGAAAUUCAAAGUAUUAUUUUUAAUUUUAUUUAAGAUGAAUUAUGUGUUUUAGUUGAUAGUAAGACGUUUUUUUCUCAAAUAUUUUUGUGCUCUUAUUAUUCUUAUGAGGCUUGAAAGUUUAAUAAGAUAAAUUUAUUAAUAUUCUAUUAUAAUAUAUAAAAUUUUAAAAUUAAAAAUUGAUAAAUCCAAGAUAGAUUUGGAGCAAAUCCGAACCUUUAUUUUAAAUUUGAACUUAAAUAUACAGUAAAAAUCAUAAAUCUAUAAUGAAUUUAGAGUAAAUACAAAUCUCAAUUUUUAUUAUUAAUCAAGAAUUAGAACAGAAUAGAUCCAGCUGAUAUAUAUGUCCCAUUGUCAUCCCUGUGACUGAUGAAAAGAUAUAGGAAAAUAAACAGGAGUUUAAUAAGCUAGACAAUAAAAGAAUCAUAUAUAGCAAUGAUUGAUUCUUUCUUCCUAUCCUUAUGAAAUCUUUCUCAAUGUCUUUUCUACGAAAUCUUUUUUAAUGUCCUUUUCGAAAAUAUCACCCUUCAGCCAAUGACUUUGAGCUGAAGGCUGGUAUUUCAAUUCAUGAACCAACCGAACAAAAAUCGUUUGUCAACAAUAUGGAUCAGCAGCCAGAAGCUACAAUUUAUCAUUAUUAAAUAGGUGAUCAUGCUUGCAACCAGGCGCAGGACAGAGUCUCUGACCAUAUUUAAAUGUUGUAGAAGCGUAGCCAUAUAUAUGAAACGUUUCACUUUGUUUUCGUAUGUUAUCAAAGGCUCAGUUUUAAAAGUAAUAUUGUAAUAAGUAUUGAAGUGUCCCAUGCAAUAAAAUCGAAGUGUCCCAUGCAACAAAAUCAUGUCAUGCGUCUUAAAUUUAUUUUGCCCUCUUAUUUAUCCUAGAUGGUAAAUACUGUUAUGAUAGAUUAUUCAAAAGGUUAUAAGGGGAGAAGAUAAGUUUAUUUUUUUUUGGGGAAAAACAUUUCCUUGCUGAAAAAAGCAAAAAUUUACAUAAGUACUGCAAUGUCUGUGGGCGGCUCUUCCAACUGAAUAAGAUCGUUAAUCAAAGAGAGUGCUAAUUUUGCUAACUGAUAAGAAACUGUAUUACAAUUUCUAAUUUCUGAAAUGAUCCAUUCAAUCUCCUUUCUACUUGAUAAAACGCCCGUAAUUAGAUGGACAAGAUUUACUGAAUCAAAUUCCACAAUAAAAAGAGUUAAGCAUAAAUCUAUCGCCGGCUUGAUGCCUUCUAGGAUAGCUUCAGCCUCUGCAAACUCGAUGUCGCUAAGAAAAGAUUUCUUGUGGCUGAGCCAGCUAUAAAAUCUCCCUUGAAAUUUCCUAUAAUUGCACCCAAACCUGUAAUUCCAUUGGAGAUGUCAAUCGGUGCAUCAACGUUCAAGUUGUACCAAUGAUUAUCCGGUGGAAUCCAACUAACACCCUUCUUGGUUGGAGGGACUAGAAACUCUUGAAUUGGAGAGCCUUGAGCAGCAGUGUACGAAUUCAAAACAGCUUCAGCCUUGCAAAGAACACUCUUUGGGUCCAUCUUUUGAUUCUGAUAGAGCGCUAUGUUCCUAGAAUGCCAAAUAGACCAUGUAAUCAUCCCAAACGAUGGUAGUCCUCUUUUGACAGCCAAGAUUCCAAAUUCUUUGCAAAGAGAGCAAAAUCCAUAUGAGGGUUAUUCGUUACAUAAGCAGCCAAAGUUGACAACUUCCACACCUUGAUCGCAAACUUAUAGCCAACUAACUCAUGAAAGGUACCCUCAAUAGCACUAAAACAUCGAUGACAAUUUGGAGAAUCCACUACUUUUCAUUUCAAAAGAUUAUUUGAUGUAGAGAGUAUAUUACGUAGAGCUCUCCAAAAAAAAGAUCGACUUUAGAUGGAAUGGAUAAAAGCCAAGCGGGAUACCCCAAUUAGCAUAGCCAAAUGAACUUAGAGGGGGAAUUAGGAUAAGUAAGACUAAGGGCCACUUGUAACCACUCUUAAAAGUUUACAAAUUUAUUUUGUACAAACUGAUUUGACAUUAACUUAUUGAUUAAAUAAAAAUACAACAACAUGUUUUUAUAUUUAAAAUAUAUAUAUUCACAUAUACGAAGGUAUAUACUUGAACAAUAUGAGUAAUACAUGUGAAUUAAAAUCAUCUCCUAAUCUAAGCUCCAUUAAUUAAUUUUAAAAAAAACUUGUCACAUGUUUUUAGUAUAGUGUAUAAUUAUUGUUAUGUUUUUAUUUAUUAAUUUCCAAUUACCUGCUAUAUAUCUUACUCAACAAUGUUUUGAUCAUGAGAGAAUUUUAAUUCAAAUACAUAUGAAAAAAAAAGAAGAAGAAAUCUGAGACCAUACUAAUAAGAGAUUUCCUUUCAUGUGAUUUUAAGAUCAAAAUUAUGAUAGUAUGCAAAACUUGGUUGCGUUUAGUAUUGUUCUUUAAACAUGUUUUUUGUAUUUAUUUUAUAAUAUAGAUAUGAUUAAUAUUUGAUGAAUUUGAAAAUUUGUUUGGUAUAUAGUAUAUAGUAUGAAUUUGACCACUAAAUAUUAAUAAUUAUAUUUAUAUACAAAAUUAAAAAAAAAUAAGGAUUUCUCUACCUUAACGUUUAAUGUAAGGUACAUCCCUUACAAAUUGAGCUAUAAGUCCACUUGAGCCCACAGCCAAUAGAGAGGUUGUACCUUACAUUAAAUGUAAGUAGAGAUGGCCAAUGGGUCGGGCGGCACAAGGCACAGCACGUGUCCGUACAACAUGGCACGACACGAGCACGUUUUCGGUAGGGCACGAAGCACGGCACGGCACGCAAAAAGGCACGUAAUAAGCACGCUUCAUUGAUAGGCUAAGCACGUAGCCCGUGGGCCAAAGUAUAUCAAAAUAAAAAAUUUUAAUGAAAAAUAAAUAUAAAAUAUCAUGAUUUUAUAAAUAUCUUGAAAAUUAAAUUUUUUAAUAUAUUUUUUUAGCAUAGGUUUUUUAAAAUUAAUUUAAGUCCUAGUUUAAAUAAAUAUUCUAAUUUUUUAUGUUUAUAAUUUAUUAAAUGGAAUAAAUAAAUAUCAUGAUUUUAUAAAUGAUAAAUGAAAAAUUUUACGACAUUAAUAUUUCAUUUAUGAAAUCAUAACUUAGUUAAUAGUUAAUGGAGAUAUGUUUCAUUUAGUGAAUGAAAUAUUUUCAUAUUUAUGCACAAAAAAAUAAAAUUAUGAACAAAAUAUUUUUAUGAUAAAUUAAAAAUUACAUUUUCAUUCAAUGGAGUUUAUGUGCAAUUAUAAUAUUAGUAGCUCAAAUAAAAUUAGAUGUAAUUGUAUUCUAGAAUUGUAAUUUUAUUUCAUUAAUUUAUACUAUGAUCUAUGAAAUUAUAUUAUUAUUGUCGUUGUUGUUGUUGUUAUUAUUAUUAUUAUUAGGCUGGUAGGGUUAAAAAAGCACGCCAGGCACGUGGACUUUUUAGGCAUACUGGACAUGUGGACAAAGAAAAAAGGUUGGUGGCUUUUUUUUGGCACGGCCCACGGCACGAGUUUGGACAUGUGGACAAAAAAAAGUUGGUAUGGGUUUUUUUAGCACGAACCACGGCACGGUACGGCACGAGUGGGCUCGUGCCGUGGGCCGUGCCGGCUCACGAGCCCGUGGGCUGACAUUUUGUGGGCCGUGCCGUGCUGGCCAUCAUUAAAUGUAAGGUAACAGCUCCCAAAAAAUAAAUGAAAGAGAGAGGCAACAUAGCAUAAUACGGGCCGGACCCACAUCUUCAUAAAACUAUGUCAUAAAAGCAGUGGUAGUUCCUAUGAACAAAGUGAAGAAUAAAGAUUUGAUGCUGUCUAAUUAUCUUCGUUAACAUUGUAAAAUAGAUAUGGUUUGCUUUCAUAAUAAUAAAAAUGUUACUGUUACUGAGGCUUAUCAAACAUUUUUUUCUAUUCUUAUAAAAUAGAAAAUGAGUGAUGAAAAACAAUACCAUACAGCCCAAAUUUUUUCCAUUUUUACCCCUUUAAUCAUAGCCUAUCGGCCUCUCCAAUUAGUUGAAAUCUUGAUGAUUCGACCACAGUUGUAAGAGAAAUUCUAGAAUAUAUCUAUUGUAUUAUAACUAAUUAAUGCAUGCACGACAUGCGUAAUUGAGUUUAAUACAACCACCACUUGCAUGAUAGUUUACAAAAUAAAUGCACACAUCAUGAUAUUAUUGCUUGUUGUAUGGGUGACAUAGUACAACAGAUGUAUUCUAGAAUUUCUCCAAGUUGUAAAAUACCAUUUGAGUCACAUAUAUUAUUGGUAGAUGAGUAGAUCGCAUCUCCCUCAACCAACGAAUUGCAUGUCAAUGUGAAAAUUGAUUUAACUGUUUAGUCUGUUUUUCAAUGAGACGUUUUCGUUCAAACUUUUACCUUCAAUCAAUGGGACCGAAGAAAGUAGGAAAAAAAAAAUUAAACAAAUAAAAGGUAGAACUAGUUGACAGACAAAAUUUUAUCAACAUUUUGAAACAACCAACAUUAAAAAGAAAUAAAAAAAUAAAAGAAGAGAUCUAGUAAAAGAAACAUGAGUUUAAUAAUUAAGCUAGAAAAGGAAAGAAUCUUAGUAAGCUUUUCAACAAGAUCCUUUUCAAUGUCCUUUUCGACAAAAUCUUUAUUGUCAAUAUAUUGAAAAAUGAUGGUGGUUGAGUUGUCACUAUGUAUCUCGAAUUUAAGCUUCUGAUACGGUCUUUUAAAAAUAAUUCUGGAUAUUUUAUUUAAAUGGUAACUUUUAAUAGUGGUUAACUUGUAAACAAUUGUUGCCAAAUCAUAAACAAAAUCUUAUUGUCUCACGGAAAGAUACUGGAAAAUAAUCAUGAGUUUAAUAAGCUAGACAAUGAAAGAAUAAUAUAUACAUGUUAUAUAGUAACGAUUGAUUAUUUCUUCUUACCGCUAAGAAAUCUUUUUCUAUGCCUUUUUUCGACAAAAUCUUUAAUGUUAUAUAUUGAAUAAUGAUGGUGAUUAAGUUUCCAUUAUGCAUCUCUCAUGUAAGCCUCAGUCCCUAGAAUUAACUAGCUCUCAGGAUUCCCUGCAUCAGUUAACUACAGCUUCCAGGUUUAUCAAUAAUUAUGGUACACCAUCCUCCAAUAUCUGUGCAUAUAUAUUUUUUAAACAGGAAUUUUGGAGUUUGGAUCAUAUUAAAAUAAAGGAUAAAUUAAAAAUAAGACAAACAUACUCUAAACAUAUUUUAUUUUAUCAUGUAAUAUAUUGAAUUUCAUAUUUUUCUGUCUUUUUAGCUUGUUAUAACGAUCCUUUAUAAGAAAUUAAAUGUAUCUUGAUUCUCUCCCACACUAACUUUAGAAGAGAAAUUAUUUAAUUUGCUUUAUUCUUUUACUACUACUACUGCGUCAAAAUAACCAACAAUUGACGACAACAAUUAUUGAAUAUGUAACAAAUUUACAUACAUUUUGACGACAUCUUUACUUGUUUGUGUUGGCAUCCUUAUUGGCAAAUUACAACAUCGUUCAGUCUUCUUAUAAUUAAGCAAUUGUCUAUGUAACAUAAAUUAUGUAUUAAGAACAUCAAUAUGGCGUGGAGCAUUGCGCAUAGAAGAGAAGAAGUAAAGUCUUAGGCGUCUACUCCAUGUGGGAAACAUGGGAUUAUCACAAAGAGAGAUUUAAAGAUUAUAACAAAAGAGAGAUUUUAACUAACUUGUUAUGGAGGGAUGAGAUAACGAUCAAGUUGGCAUAAUCUGUAGAGAUAACGACGAGUUUGGAAUAAUCAUGUGGUGAUAAUAUUAUGAUAUUCUGCCUUUUGAUCAACUGAGCACGCUCCCUCUCACAACACAACUCUCUUCAUAAGAAUUGGCCAACAUGGAUUGUCACUUUUCAUGUUAAUUUGAUAUUACCUUGAAUGGCAUAUUAAUUUGAUUUGAAAAAUGGAACGAGAGUAGAGGAAAAAAGGAGAAUGAAAAGAAAUAAGAAAAAAAAUGAUGAAUUUCAUAUAAAAAAUCAAAUAAUGAAAUAAUAAAAUUGAGGUCGAUUCUCUUUUUUUUCUCUUUUUUCUCUAAUAAAAAUAUAUCAGAUUAAUGACAAAGUAUUGAUAUUUGAUCCCCUCAGUUUCUCUUAUUAUCUCCCACUUCUCUCAUUUUAAUUUGAAAAGUCAAAAAUACCUACCAAAAUAAUUUUAAGUUUUAAAUUUUACCCUUUCUUCUUUCUCUCCUCUCUCUUAUUCUCCCGACUUCCCUUCAUCUUCGUUUUCUUUAAAAAUUGAAGAUUAGUACACUUUCCUUCAUUUUUUGAUCUUUCUGUAUCGAUGAGAGCAAUAAUUGACAUCAUCAAACAAUCCUUUUCUACCCAAAUCAUGAUUAUAAACAAAAGUAAAAAAUAGCAAUAUCAUGAUAUGGAAUCUUGAUCAUAUCUCAUGAUCCCUCUUCAGCUUCUAUGUUAAUCAAAAGAAAAAAAUAUAAUCGAUUAAAGAUUAAAUUUAAAUUUUAAAAUGUUGUCCUUUUUUUGGGGGGGGGGGGGGGGGAUAAAAAAGAGUUUGAGAUCAAGAUGACAGUGUUGCAUAAAUAAUUAUUAUUAAAAAUUAAAGAAACGGCUUGCAUGUCCCACUUAUUGCUAAGAAGAGAAGUGGUUCGCGCCGGCCAGUUCCAAGAAGACAAGUGGUGGUGUCAGUGCAUGGUUAGUAAUUAUUGGGGACUAGAACUAAUGAUGGUGAUUAAGUUUCCAUUAUGCAUCUCUCAUGUAAGCCUCAGUCCCUAGAAUUAACUAGCUCUCAGGAUUCCUGCAUCAGUUAACUACAGCUUCCAGGUUUAUCAAUAAUUAUGGUACACCAUCCUCCAAUAUCUGUGCAUAUAUAAUUUUUAAACAGGAAUUUUGGAGUUUGGAUCAUAUUAAAAUAAAGGAUAAAUUAAAAAAUAAGACAAACACAUACUCUAACAUAUUUUAUUUUAUCAUGUAAUAUAUUGAAUUUCAUAUUUUUCUGUCUUUUUAGCUUGUUAUAACGAUCCUUUAUAAGAAAUUAAAUGUAUCUUGAUUCUCUCCACACUAACUUUAGAAGAGAAAAUUAUUUAAUUUGCUUUAUUCUUUUACUACUACUGCGUCAAAAUAACCAACAAUUGACGACAACAAUUAUUGAAUAUGUAACAAAUUUACAUACAUUUUGACGACAUCUUUACUUGUUUGUGUUGGCAUCCUUAUUGGCAAAUUACAACAUCGUUCAGUCUUCUUAUAAUUAAGCAAUUGUCUAUGUAACAUAAAUUAUGUAUUAAAACAUCAAUAUGGCGUGGAGCAUUGCGCAUAGAAGAGAAGAAGUAAAGUCUUAGGCGUCUACUCCAUGUGGGAAACAUGGGAUUAUCACAAAGAGAGAUUUAAAGAUUAUAACAAAGAGAGAUUUUAACUAACUUGUUAUGGAGGGAUGAGAUAACGAUCAAGUUGGCAUAAUCUGUAGAGAUAACGACGAGUUUGGAAUAAUCAUGUGGUGAUAAUAUUAUGAUAUUCUGCCUUUUGAUCAACUGAGCACGCUCCCUCUCACAACACAACUCUCUUCAUAAGAAUUGGCCAACAUGGAUUGUCACUUUUCAUGUUAAUUUGAUAUUACCUUGAAUGGCAUAUUAAUUUGAUUUGAAAAAUGGAACGAGAGUAGAGGAAAAAAGGAGAAUGAAAAGAAAUAAGAAAAAAAAUGAUGAAUUUCAUAUAAAAUCAAAUAAUGAAAUAAUAAAAUUGAGGUCGAUUCUCUUUUUUUUCUCUUUUUUCUCUAAUAAAAAAUAUAUCAGAUUAAUGACAAAGUAUUGAAUUGAUCCCCUCAGUUCUCUUAUAUCUCCCCACUUCUCUCAUUUUAAUUUGAAAAGUCAAAAAUACCUACCAAAAUAAUUUAAGUUUUAAAUUUUACCUUUCUUCUUUCUCUCCUCUCUCUAUUCUCCCGACUUCCCUUCAUCUCGUUUUCUUUAAAAAUUGAAGAUUAGUACAACUUUCCCUUCAUUUUUGAUCUUUCUGUAUCGAUGAGAGCAAAAUUGACAUCAUCAAACAAUCCUUUUCUACCCAAAUCAUGAUUAUAAACAAAAGUAAAAAAUAGCAAUAUCAUGAUAUGGAAUCUUGAUCAUAUCUCAUGAUCCCUCUUCAGCUUCUAUGUUAAUCAAAAAGAAAAAAAUAUAAUCGAUUAAAGAUUAAAUUUAAAUUUUAAAAUGUUGUCCUUUUUUGGGGGGGGGGGGGGGGGGAUAAAAAAGAGUUUGAGAUCAAAGAUGACAGUGUUGCAUAAAUAAUUAUUAUUAUAAUAAUUAAAGAAACGGCUUUGCAAUGUCCACUUAUUGCUAAGAAGAGAAGUGGUUCGCGCCGGCCAGUUCCAAGAAGACAAGUGGUGGGUGUCAGUGCAUGGUUAGUAAUUAUUGGGGACUAGAACUGAUUGCCAAGAGUGAGGGUGCAUUUAAUAUUGAGGUUGAGUAACUUUUAAGAUACUGUACUAAAGUGUUUGGUAAACACUAAUUACGGUAGCUUGGAAACUAUGGUGGUAUUUGUUUUUUAACUUAAUGACUUAAAGUGACUUAACUUAAUUAAUUAAGUUAAUUAGAGGUGUUUGUUUUUAUAACUUAAUGAGACUUUUUAGAUAAUUUGACUUAAUAAAAUAAGCUAAUUUUUUGGCUUUUUACUUAAUGGAGAAAUCUGAAUUAAGUUAAUUACUUGCUAAUGUCAAAAAUAUCUCUGUUUUAUAAUUAUUUUUAUGUCUAUCCCAAAACUCACCCAUAAAUAUUUACCCCACAUAAAAAUAUCCCUGUUUUUCUUUCUAUAUUAUAUACGAUAAAAUUUGAAAAUUUAUGGUAUUUAUAUAUUAAAAUUCUAAAAUAAUUAUGUAUUCACGUGAAUAUAGUUUUGCUUAUAAAUGUUAAAAUAUUAUGGUAUUUAAUAUAUUAUUUAUUGACAUUUCAAAUUUAAUAAGGCUACAAAUGUAAAAGUACAUAUUUUCAGCUUUUUAAGUUGAAAAAAACAACAGCUUAAUACUUAUUUUCCGAGAUUCAUACGAAAAAACAAACAUAUUAUUCAGAUUCAGACAUUCAGAUCUAUUAAGAAUUCAGACUAAUUCAGGUUUAUUCAGAUUUUAGAUAAAAAAAACAAACGCCACCUAUGUUAAUAUGAUUUUUUUCUUAUAUAAUAAAAAAUUUAUUAUAUCUUUAAUAAUUUGUCAAAUUAUUAUUUAAAAUUUAUAUAUACUAUAUAUUAUUAAUUUUGUUUCAUAUUACAGUUUUUUUCAUAGCAGUUAUAACUUAAAAGGUAUAGCACCUCAAUUUCAAACAGGACCUGAAUCUUGUUCAACAAGCAACAGAUUUAGCACCGAUGAGAGAAGAACAAAUAUUAAUUUAUUUUUUUUAAUGAGGGCAAUUCUGAAUAUAAUUAUAACUAGUAAAAUGGGAGCUAACGAGAUAAAUUGAGAGGUUUAAUAUCUUUACUCUUAAUAUAAAAAAUAACCACAUCGAAGUGCACUGUUAAAUAAAUAAGUGCCAUCACUAUUUAUGCAAUUUACAUGAUAUUAUGAUUAAUCUUGCAUAUGAUUAUUUAUUAAUAAAAAUAUGUAACAUGUGCUAGCACAUACUAUUUUCCUCUAAAUUUCUUAUACCACAUUUUUUCCUAUAAAUAGAAAGAGGCACACGUCUUCCACGCAAAUCACACAAGUAAGACUUAGUAUAAUUAGAAACAUGAAUCUCAAAGCUUUCUUUGUUCUCUCCGCAGUGCUCUCUUUGCUUCUCUUGGUAUAUAUGCAUCUCUUUUUUAGGAAAAUUUAACAUAAAGGAUACCUAAUUAAGUUAGUUUUGAUGAGAUUCUCUUUAUCAUUUGUUUGAUCUAAUUUUUUUUUUUCCUCUUGUUCAGUUUGCUAACAGAACAGAGGCCAGAAAAGAUCAGGGAGAAUAUUGGAGAGGCUUCGUCAAAGAUAGCGACGUGCCAGAAUCAAUUCAAAUUCAUGUUCGCCAGGAUCCUGUCUCAACUGCCUCUGAUGCCAAAGCCCACUGCAAAGAACCUGAAGAUUUAGAGCACAAGAGAGAAAAGACUUAUGUCAAGGAUUCUGACGCAACGAUUGAUAUCUUAGUUUAUCACAACAGUAUUAAACCAACUGAACAAAAGUUAUUUGGCAACCACUUCGAAAGCCCGGAUGCUACAAUUUACCACAAUGACAUUAAACCAACAGAACAGAAGUUAUUGGCAACCACUUCGAGUCAAGCCCGGAUGCUACAAUUUACCACAAUGACAUUAAACCAACAGAACAGAAGUUAUUUACCAACCACUUCGAGUCAAGCCCGGAUGCUACAAUUUACCACAAUGAUAUUAAACCAACAGUACAGAAGUUAUUUGCCAACCACUUCGUGUCAAGCCCGGAUGCUACAAUUUACCACAACGAUAUUAAACCAAUUGAAAUGAUUAAAUCUUUUGUUAGCAAAUUCUUGUCAAACCCUGAUGCUACAAUUUAUCAUGAGUAACCAGACUCUGCUUUCAAUCGUGUGGAGAGAGCCCGUUAUCCAUCUGUAAUAUUUGUGCGUACGUGUGAUGCUCUCUUUCUAUAAAUAAGUUAUGAGGAGUGCGGUUGUUUAAUGCUCUAAGGCACAAGCUUUGUAAGAAAGUGUGUUUUUAUUGUAAAAUUGAAUAAAAAUUUGUGCCAAGUUAAUUAAUUAUCCCUUUUCUAGUGAUUUUUUUUUUUCUAAUGCUUUGAUUAUUUCCACAAAAUCUUUCGUAAGGAAAGGCCUAGCUACUUGAAUCAAUUUUCUCCAUUUCAACGUUAUUUAGUAUAAUAAUAAUACAAAAAAUCAUUAAUCUCAGUAAUUGAUAAACAAUAUUCUUGCUAUUAUAUUGAGAAUUAAUUCCUAAUCUGAGAAAAUAAAUUAACAAUUAAAAAAUAAUAAAAGAUCGUGAACUACUUAGAUUUAUGGCCCUCUCACAUGUCGAUGGUACUUUACAUAAUUAGAAGCCUUUUUAUUAAUUUUAACAGACACCAUUCAAUCAACUUUGGUGACAUACUGAUAAUUGAUGCAAAAUUCUAUUUGGGGAAAAAAAAGUAAAAGAAAGAACUCCUAUUUUAGCUCUUAAAUCUUAAUUUUUCAAAUUUUAGAAGGAUUAAUGAUCAACAUUAUUUAGCCUAUUUUAUUUAAUUUAUAACUAUAGAAAUCCUAAAGCUGAUGGAGUAUACUUAAUACCUUAUUUUCCCCAAUCACAACCGUCUAAAUUCCUGAAACAUUUCAUUUCUUAAAUUUCAACGGUACAGAUUAAUUCUCUUACGAAAACUCAGCGACUUAUCCUGGACCGCCGCUACUAAAAUACAUAAGAGUAAAAUACUAUAGUAUUCCGGGACAAAUUUAUUUCUUCCACGACGCAAUAAAAUGCUGCGUCCAAUAACAUUCUGUUUCCUAAAGCUUACCCAAAUCGCAGAUAGGAACAUGGUUUGCAAUAAUUUUUCUAACAGAUCCUGCAUCAAAUUCGUUAAAAACUGGUUUAAUUUUUAUUAAAUAAUUUUAAGUAAAUUGAAUAAGAUAAAAAAUUUAAAAAGUUAUUAUUUUAUAAUGAAAAAGCUAGAUCAUCCAUACGUAAUAAAAAAUAGUACGCAUUCACAACUUAAUGCAAUAUAAUCUAGACAACCAAAUAUAUUUUAUGUAUUUUUUACAAAUUGCUUUUAGUAUAAGCAAAUAAGGUGGUUGUCUAAACAUUCAUAUUUUUGGAAGGUCUCAAUUUUUAAUAUUUUCUUAAUAAUUUCUAAUUAAUAAAGAUAUUUUUUUAACUUAUGUAUUGUAGAAAAACCUAUUAGACAUUUUUAUUAUUAACAACUAUACUACAAUUAAGAGUCUUUUUUGUAUAGAAAAUCAAUAUUUGUAACCUUAUUGAUAAAGAGAAAUGAUUAAUAAUAUUUUUAACCAUUAAUUCAUUCAUUAUUAGUUUUCUCAAGAAAAAAAGUUAAAUUCUUUACCUUUUCAUUUCCUAAAAAAAACUUGAUUAUUUAACAUUGAAAUCUUUGACUUUUAUUAUUCCUUUAGUUUCUAUUAGAACCUUAUAAUAUAAAAAAUCAAUAGAUAAAAAAAAUUUGUUCCUCCUUUCUUUACGAAGAAAAUUAUUAUAUUUAUUGGUUAAUUUAAAAAAGAAAAAUUAGUUUCUUGAAGUAUGAAGACCAUAUCUAUUAUCUGAUAAUCAAUUCAUGAUCUCGACUUUCUAGCUAUAUUCUGUCAUUCUAAAUAUUUUAUUUGAAAAUAAUAUUGUUUUAUUUAUUUGUUUGUUUGCUUUUUAAGAGUUCUGAUGGAAGUAAAAAAAACAAAUCUUUUUUACUAAUUUUUUAGGUUUUUUUUAAAAGAUUUUUUAAGAUAUUUUUUUAUUACUGUUAAAAUUUAAGAAUUAAAGAUAGAAUGAAUUUUUGAGUCUUUUCAUAUUUCUUUGAGUAUUGAAAUUACAAAAUAAAAUAUGGCCUUACAAAAAAAAAAUUCGCCUAAGACCCCAUAUACUCUAAUGCCGACUCUGGGUGAAAUUAUUGAUUUUAUUAAUAAUAAUAUGAUGUAUACUAACCAAUGUACAAAACAGUAGUGGGUGACAUAAAUUAGAAUUGUGUUGCAAAAACAAGAGGUUUGAGUGAAAAAGAAUUUACAAACUCACAUUACAAUGUUAUAUAGUUGCCAUAUGUCUCACAUUUUCAAAUGAACAAAAUAUAAUAAAUACAGUAUAAUCUUUAUAACUGAAUAUUCAAUAGAUUAAUAAUCUCUACUGUGUAAUAAUUUUUUAUGGUCAUGACUUAGGCCAAUAGGUUAAAUUAAUAAUUGCAAUAAAUUAAUAAGAUGAUAUUUUUUAUGAAAACCCUUAUAUAACUAUGUGGCUCCAUUCAUAUCAAAAUUAAUAAUUUUUUAAAAUUAUAAAUAUAAUUGACAAUAAUUUUUUAUUUAUUAAAAUGUGAGUCGAUUAUUAUCUUGUUCCCUUAUUACUUCUUUUCCUUGAAAUAUAAAUCUAUUUGAAUCUCGUAUCUAAUUUUUCUUAUUACAUCUAAAAGUUUUGGGAUUGAAUUCUUGAAUUAUAAUAAAAAAAAAAUUAUGAAGUGCUUUCGUACACAUAACUGGCUCCAAAGCAAUUGUAUCAUUCUCAACUUUUAUCAUCGACAUGAUUUUAAGUGAUGUCAGCAGUGGUUUAAUUUAUUCUAAACUUAAAAUCUCUCAACUUACAUCAUUUUUAUUAUGAUAAUCCAAGAGGUAAUUAAGUAGAUAAAUACAAUACAGUUAUUGUUUUGGUUUAUCUAAUAUCUAUUUAGUAGAUUAAUUCAUAUUCAAUAAAUUAGAUUAGUAAAAUAUAACGAAAUUUUAGUUAAUUAAAUGUACGUUUAUUGAACUAUAAAUGAACUCUAGAAAUUAAUAAAUUAUUAAUUUACUAAUUACAUAAUAAUUCUUUUAAUUAAUAAAAUUUAAAUAGUCCCAAUGUUAUUAAUUCAUAGAAGUUAUAUGAAAUAUGUGUCAACUAUAUAAUAUCGUAGUUUGUAAACAAAACAUAACUCUUUUGUUAAUUGAAUACUAACGUAAUGCUAUAGAAAUAACAUAUGUGACCAAUUUGCAUAAAUGUAUACUCUCUGUAUCUUAUUACAAAUGCUUUAUAAAUCAGUGACUCAGAUGUUAUUAUCUAAACUCGUGGAAGCAUUACUUUUGUCCCUGCCAAUAUCAUUCAGAUAAAUAGUUGUUGUGCGUUCAGAUUCACCAGGAAUGCUUACGCAAAACAUAGACUGAACCCAAGAGCUUCGAAACUCGAAACUGAACCAAAUCAUUCUAAUGGAAGAGAAACGCCGGGAAGCCAGAGCGCAACCGCGGCUACGAGCUCGGCCGCAGCUGGAGCCGAGUCAGCGGCAUCCGAGCCGGCUUCGCUCGGCGCCGAGCCGGAGCGCACAAAAGGAAAGCCUCGGCGCUCUCAGCGACUAACGCUUCAUCCACGCCGUCGAAGCGCAUGACUCGCGAGAAGAAUUUAGUUGCUCACACUCCGAUCUACAACCAUAACGUUACAUCUUGACAUUUGUAGUAAGAACGUGAGAGGAUACCUGGAGUGUAUUGGGAUUUGGGCGGAAGAGAAAGGAGCCCUUGGAAUUGGGAAACAAAUGAAAUUAUCUGCAUGGUCCUUGUACUCGUGGAGGGACUGUAACUUCUGAACCAACAAUGCUGAAAAUGCAGGGUCAAAAAUCAACAUUAACUUGAUGAAUAAUUGUUUGAAAAAAAAAAAAAGCAAGAAAACUUGAUUAAUAUAAAAGAGAGCAAAGGAGCACAACCAUACAGAAGUUGUAUAAAGGAAUAUUAAUCAAGCUUGAUUAAUAUUCUUCUUCUAUCCAACACCACAAGAUGAAACACAGUAUUCCUGUUGCAGUAUAUGGUGAGAACUGUGAAGUGCAGGAAGUAGUUUCCUAAGAGAGAUGAUUGAAUGCUCUUAAUUUUUUUUUUCAGAAAAUCAUUUUAUUUUUAAUAAAAGUUUAAUUUUUUUUAAUAAAAAUUUUUAUUUAUUUUUUAUUAAGUUGUGUCUCAUAUUUACUAAUAAAGGAAGUUAUUUGGGUAUAUAAGUAGGAUGUCUCAUCUAACAUGCUAGUAGGAUAAAUCUCUCAUCUAAUAUGCUAGUAUUUUGGGUUAAAUACCUAUAAAUUCUAAGCCGAGUCCACAACAGUCCCCAAAAUAACUGGAUUUAAGUCCUAGCUACACCAGUAGAUUGAAUAGAAGUGCAAAUAAGUUUAACUUUUUUGUCAUUCAUUUUAGUCUUUUUUUUUUUUUUUUUCACAUACAUUGAAAAAGGAUAACUCUGUCGUGAUUGCCAUGGCAGAGCCUAUUUCAAACGAUGGUGUAUGCUAAAGGAAAUUAUCAUGAGAUGAGUGAUAAACCAUACAAUCAGUAGCUACAGCCCACGAUUAAUCAGCCACAUGGCCACAAAUAUUAUUGGCGGCAAAUAUAUCAACAAAAUCACAAUAAAGAUGAGCAUCCUCGAUUCCAUUCCUUAAUGUAAAUAGGACAGCCUGUCUAGCCAUUACUUUAAGAGAUUUGGCUGGCUUUGACACUUGUAUAUAAGCUUGUAACCCUCUCAUUCUUUACAAGAAAUAAGAUAAUAUUUUCAGCUUAAUAAUUCUUUUCAGUGAGAUCAAAGAAAUGUAAAGAGAUAUAGUCACUACUACAAAAAUGUAAAACAAUGACCCAUAUGUUAUGACGGUUCUUCUAAACAACCGUCAUUAAAGAUAUUUAAUGACGGUUAUUAUGUGAACAGUCAUAAUAUAUACCACUUAUAAUGACGGUUAUGUAAUAAAACCGUCAUUAAAUGUCAAAUAAAAUUUACACUUAGUUUUAAUGACGGUUCAUUUAUAAAAACCGUCAUUAAAAGUCACUAUUUUUAAUGACGGUUCUUAUAUACAACGGUCAUUAUAUGUGUAGUUAAAAAUAAUAUUACUUUUAAUGACGGUUUUUUAAUAACCGUCAUUAAAAAUAAUAAUUUUUAAUCACGGUUUUUACAUAUAACGGUCAUUAUAUGUGUAAUUAAAAUAGUACUACCUUUAAUGACGGUUUUUUUAAAACCGUCAUUAAUAAUUUUUAAUGACGAUUUUUACAUUAAACGGUCAUUAUAUGUGUAAUUAAAAUAAUACUACCUUUAAUGACGGUUUUGUUAAGAACCGUCAUUAAAAAUAAAUUUAUUUUUAAUGACGGUUCUUAACAAAACCGUCAUUAAAAAUCAUACUUUUUAAUGACCGUUAUAUAUUAUAACGGUCAUUAUAUAUAUAAUUAAAAUGCUUUUAAUUUUAAUGACGGUUCUUUAAGAACCGUCAUUAAAAAUUGACAUUUUUAGUGACAGUUGUAUAAAACAACCGUCAUCGUAUAUAUUGAUAUAGUUAUAAAAAAAAAAAAAAAUUGGCCUUAUACUGAACACCAAAUCCCUAAAAUUACAGAUAAUUUGUAAACAUUAAAAGUAAUGGCGCAAGCACGCACGCCGCCGGUACACUUAGCCCAUGCAGCAGCAACCGAGCACGGUAGCAACAGGCCACCAGCAGUCGCUCUCUCUCUCACGCACACGCAGCAGCAAGCCAACACCAAUAGCCCCUCUUUCUCAUGCUCACUCUCUACUAUGCCCUCUUACGUACUCAAGAAAACUCUAACCCAUAUCCAAACCCUCGCCGUCGAAGAAAACCCAAUCCUUAAUGGCUUGAAAUUAAAGCCUCCACCGUCAAUCACCAUCGAACCAAAUAAACUCUAGCCUUACCAUCACUCUUCGUUUGACUCGCUGAAGAAAGCACUCUAUUAGGUGAGUCUCUGUUGUUUGAUAAUAUAUCUGCACUCUUUGUUGGCCGAAGCUUUUAGACAAUUGCUUUGAUUCAAUUGCUUCGAUUGGUUAGUUCUCUGUGAUUAAUUAGUUAGUUACUUUUAAUUUCAUAUUUUCAUCUCUAACAGUGAAUUUGGGAGUCGAUUUCUCUGUCGGAUUUGUAAUUUUUGCUACAGAUCAAAAACAUCUUGAAGGUGUUUUCAUAUCUAACAACUUGAACUAUCAUUUAUUUUGUCUUGUUAAUGUUCAAUUUUUUUUUCUUUUUUUAUUAGUAUGACAAUUAGUCGAAUGUGCUUGCACAUAAAACAAUCUUUUAACUUGGCGUUGGAAUAUUUGUUUUGAGUUGUGUCCCCUUAAUCAAUGACCAUACAAAAGUUCCCCAUGAUAAAGUGUUUAGCCCUAUUAAUGCCAUAAAGUCUUGCUCUCAAUUUUUCUGAUUAUGCCUAUGGAUUGAUUACCUAUUUCAUUUACAAAUUCAAUUGGCAAAUGUACAAUGCCUGCAUGACACUCACAUUUGGGUUAUGAUGGUAGUCAUUAUGAGGAAGAAUGUUAGAAUAACAUCAGGGGAAACAUCUGGGAGAAGGUAUGUACUGUCAAGCUCUUUGUUAGAAUCAUCACGAAAUUUAUAUUGGAUCUUGGCUGUUCUAUGUGAUGCAUUUUGGAUUUGCUCUUACUAGACAUGCAAAAACCUGUAAAAUGUAUUUUUUUUUUCCAUUUUAGAUUUACUAUCUAGUAUCUUGUAGGUUUAAUCUAAAAUAGAAACCAUUGAGGAUACUGGACACAAUUCUAAUGAAGAGAAAAGAUGUUAGACUUUAGUAUUCAACCUUUUUUUUUUAGCCAUAUUUCUAGACCCCAAGUUUAUGUCAUGAUAAUUGUGUGAUUGAUAAGAUAUUUUGGUUUUGGACUUUAUCUCAUGGAUUUAGAGUUCGAUUAUAUUUGGAAGUGGAAUAAUGCAUUCAUUUACAUAUGAUGUUUGAUGAAGUUCCCAUAAAAUUAAUUCAAUUAUAUAUGUUUAUGGUUCUAAGGAAGCGGGGCAAAAAUUUUAUCAGUGGGUUGAUUUCACUAGUUUAAGUUAGUAAAGCAAAGAAAUUGUCUUUAUGCACUUUAACUUUCCUCCAUUUAAGGUGAAAAAAUUAUUGAAGCUUUUAGAAGUGAAUUGUUCAUUUUGUUUGUGCACUUAUGCAGAUGGAUUUACUUUUGGCUGCUUAACCCUUCCUCACUUAUAUUUUUUCAGUUUAAAUUGCAGUGUUUUGCUGCUGUGCAACAGCACAAGAGGCUGUUUUAUUGUUGUUUCUGUAAAAACACAGCACCAGGAAGCGUCCAGGUAAUGUUUCGCUGCUGUUAUGCAGUAAAAACAACACCUGAAAGUUUCUAGGUGCUAUUUUUACUGCUGUUUACGCAGAAACACAGCACCUAAAAGUGUCUCUAGGUUCUGUUUAGCUGCUAUUAUGCAGCAAAAACAGCACCUGGAAACUUCCAAGUGCUGUUUUUAUUGCAUUUUAUGCAGAAACAAAGCACCUAGAAGCAUUCAAGGGUUGCUUUACUGUUGUUUUGUAUUUAAAAUUGCUGUUAGAAAUUUUGGGUGCUAUUUCUCUGAAAUUUUGCUAUUAACAGUGCAGCUUAAUAAUUUCAUAUGUCGUUUUGAACCUUCUUCAGUUCUUUUCUCUUAUGUCUAUACUUAAUCUUUUCCCCCCUGGUAAUAAGCAGGUACAAUUUUUGCAAGGUAAUAUCUAAGCAUGCUGUUAAUUCUUUGGUUGAGACGUAGUAUUCUAAACUUCAGGCCUUAAUUUUUUUAUUUCCAAGUGUAUAAUGGGUAGGUACUGGAUCUCUUAUGGAUGAUGUAGUUAAUGCUUUUUUAUUGUCUCUAUUUUGGCAAAUGUGUUGUCAUUUAUUAUCUGAACACAUGGUUGAUUAACUUACUUGAGGUAAGUCUAUUAAUUAAUAGUGAUAUGAUACUUUAAAGUCUUGUUUUACAACUUAAGUCACUAAAAUGAUUUAAUAUUUAUGAUUUAUAAUAUAUGAAUAUAUCUUAAUUUCUCUUUAUUCUUUGUAAGAAUGAUGUAGAUUGCUGAAGCUGGUGAGAUUCAUUUGCAAUUGAAGACUUGAUGAGAAAUUAGAUGUACUCACACAUGCCAAUCUUGUUGGUUGCUAGUGCAUUCACUAGUAGAAGUUUAAUGAUUGUUGGAGAUUUUUGUAGAGCUAUCUCUUUGUAAAUGAAACAUUUGCAUCAUUUUGAAUAUGAAACAUUUGUGAAAAAUAAUUGUAAAGAAUUUAAUAUGAAAUUAGAAUUAAAAUAGGGGCUUGAAAUAGCCUUAAAUUUGCCAAAUUUAUUUUUUUAAUAAUAAAUAACAAAGAUGACGGUUAUUUCAAAAGAACCGUCAUCAAAUGUAGUGUUCUAUAACAAAUAUGACGGUUUUCUUCUAAAACCGUCAUUAAAUGUUGUUUCAAUAUUUAAUGACGGUUCUUACAAUAAACCGUCAUUAAAAUGACACAUUUAAUGACGAUUAUUUAGAUAAACCGUCAUUAAAGAUAGAUAUUUAAUGACGGUUCUUACAAUAAACCGUCAUUAAAAUGACACAUUUAAUGACGGUUAUUUAAAUAACCGUAAUUAAAAAUAUACAUUUAAUGACGGUUAGUGAACCGUCAUAAAAAACAUACCCUCUUUAAUGUCGGUGCCUAAGAUGACGGUUUUAAAACCGUCAUCUUAUGUCGUUUAAAACCGUCAUAAAAGACCAAUUUUGUAGUAGUGAGUCUAUUAGGUUGGCAAAUCUACUGAAACAAUAUUGUUUCCUAUCAACUCCGAAAUACAACCAAUUGAACAACGUUCAGAAAUCGAAAAUCAUUUAUUACCAGUAAGAUUUAUUAUUAUACGCUAUACAUAUGGCUUUAACAGUCACAUUACCAAUACAUUUUUAAUCAUGGUAGGUAGGUGCUGGAAUGUAUACAAUAUUAUCAGCCUGGAAGAAAUGGCAGACAUGGGAGCUCCCUGGCUCGAUCCCAAGCACACGAAACGAUGCAUGAUCUCGACUCCAAUGAGACGUAUCCAUGUGGCAAACUGCUACAGCUUCCACUCUAUCUCCAUUAUCACCACCUAAUGAAACACCGAAUAACUUGUUCUCAGUCAUUUGGCUGUGGCAGUAGAAGAUUGCAUAAGGGUAAGGCAUGAUAUGACAUGCCACCAUCUUGGGAGCAACCAUUGGUUUAGGCACUUGUAAAAUAGUGUAAUUUUGGAAAAUGGUAGCUGAUUUUGUGAGAAAUUUUGUGCUUAGAACUUCGAAUUUGGUCUCCAAUCCGAAAGUUCCGUGUACAAAAUCAAGCAUGGAUUCCAAAGAGGUAGCACAAAUUUUGGUUUCUCCUUCGAUGGGAGGAACUUCGCAAUGAUUCAGGGUCCCUUCCAUGGCUUUGGCUAGGGGUGAGUCAUCUGAGAACGAGAAGAAUUGAAGAAGGUAAGGCAGUUGUUUCAAUGAAAAUGGAAUGGAAUCUGCUUCUUCUCUAGGCAAAGCCUGAGGAUAAGCUGAAGGAUCUCUCUUGCGAAAAAUAAAUCGGCAUCGUUUCGCCAAUCUUUAGAUCCUUCAAGGUGAAGAACACCAUCGUUGAAGGGUCCAUGUGAUUCAUGUGGGAUGGUAUUGAAUGAGAAUCAUGAAGAUUCUCCGAAAGCACCUGAGCACACUGUAAAACAGUUGAGCAAUUCAAUAUGACAACAUAGAUGAAAAAUCAACAACACAAGUUCUAUAAAGUGUAAAACUGAAGGAGCAAAAUAUAUCUUUUUGAGUUAUUGCUUUAAGACAACACUUAUGUACAUCUAUUGCAAAGUAAGCACUUCCUUAGCACACAUUGAGGAUUAUUACCAGAAAGAGUAGAGAAAGAAGGAGGUUCCAAACUGAAAAUCUUAACCCCAUCUCUUUUCUAUUAUCGAAGUUUCUUAUGUAUUUUAGUAAUCUUUUUGUUUUUUUUUUUAAGGGAGAGGAAACACAGAUAACAAGUGAAGCAGAAAGAGAAGAGAUUGUGUAACUGUAUAUGUCAACAACCAAAUGAUGUGUGUUAAUUUUCAAGUGGAAAUUUAUAGCCUGCAUAAGCUGAACUUGUUCUACUGUGCUGAUUAAUUGAAUCACAACACAGUUUGAAUAAUGACCUUAAUAGUCCAAUCCAGCAAAGAAUUCAGCACUCCAAUCAUAUGGGGACACACGUAUUGUACCUUCAUCAUGUCUGCGGAUUUUAAUAGUUUUGACUGAGUGAAGGAUUACUUCAAUUGAUAACAUUGCAUAUUAGAUUACCAGACCUAAAAUUGAUUUCUUAUUAAAAAAUUUACUUGCAAUUUGGAAACUCUCUUUGACACAUUAAUUACAGACUCGAAAUCUGUAUCAAUAUUCCCCAUACAUAGACGGAACUGAGCAGAAAAAGUGGGAAGGCAGAUCGUAAACAAAUUCGACAUGGUAGUUUCCAAGGAUGAAUAGCAUUUUUUUCAUUCGAAAAUGGGAUAAUAUAUCCUUCAGUCACGUAAUGUACACUAUAUAAGGUGGCGUUUGGUUGGGAGGAGAGAACAAAGGAGAGGAAAGUAAUUUAAAUUUUCUUUUUAUUUUCAUUGUUUGGUUUGACAAAAUAUAUAAGAAUUUAAUUUCCAUUAGAAUUUAAUAUCCAUCAUAAUUUGAAUUACACACCAAGUAGUGAAGAAUUUAAAUUCCUUGUAUGUUAGAAACUAAAGUUUCCAAAAUUACUCUUCAACUUGUUUAAUGUCAUUAAUAAUUAUUAUUUAAUAUUAUAAAUGGAUCACCGCCGGAAAGUCGUCGGACUACCGCCGGAAAGUCACUGGAAAGUUACCGGGCCACCCCGGGAUGUUGCCGGAAAGUCACUAGACCACUACCGAACGUUGACGGACGUCGCCGAACGUCGCCGGAAUCCUGCCGAACGUUGCCAUAAGGUAGUUUCCAAGGAUGAAUAGCAUUUUUUUCAUUCGAAAAUGGGAUAAUUUAUCCUUCAGUCACGUAAUGUACACUAAAUCUCUUCUCAACCUAGUGUGCGUCGGAUAUGUGAGUGUCGGGGCUCCAGUCUCCCGUACAAUCUUUAAAAAUUUUUUUGGUCAAAUUAACAGGCUGCACUCACUGUAUUUCCAUGGAUCACACUACUUCAACUAAAAGAUAAGAUAAUAAGUAUAUUUAGGAUUUUACGGAAUGAUUUUUAAGUAGUUUUUAUUAAUUAAUUAUUCAAAUUCGAAUUAAAAAAAGACUAAAAAAUUCAUCAGAAUUUUUCUCACUCCCAAUCUUUCAAAAUAUAACAAAUAAUAAGUCAUAUAAAAAAUGUUUUAAACGCAAUUUUCACUUCAAACAUAUUUCAUUUGAAGUUUAAUUAUAUUCUCCGGUGGAACCUGGAUAAGUUGAAACAAAAUUUUAUUAAUAAAAAAAAAUGUACAUCUAAUUGUCUUACGAUGGGUCAAGAACAAAAGGUUAAAGGAUAAUAUACGUGGACAUGAUAAUGCAGAAACCGAGAAUCAAAAGGGCACGAGUUUCAAAUGCUAGACAAAUGAAAGAGACGUGUGAUUGCAGGUCGAUUUUCUUCUCAUCACUAGCCACUAGCACACAUCCCCUUAAUCAAAAUCUUUUUCAAUAUUGUUUAUUAUAUAAAUGGAUAUUGGUAGUGGUUGAACUUCUAUUAUUUAAUUAUGUUGUCAUUUUCCAUCACUACAACAACAGAUGAUUCAUGUAGGAUCGGUCAAUAAUUGUCGCCCAAUGUUUUUGUCUUUUUCAUAAUUUAGUUAUUUUUGUUCAUAUGUCUGACGAAGAAGUUUUAAUUUUGCAAGAGGAAUUCAAGUUGAUAAGACCUUGUCGACUUGUCUUCUGCUGAAGAAUCUUGAAUAAUCAUGCCAAAUUCAAAAAGUGGCAAAAGCAAAAGGCUAACUUCUUAAUGAAUUCAAUAUUAUUAUGAAUUUGGUGCUAGCUCAAUCUUGAAAAUGAUCCAAAAAUUAAAAAGUAAACAUAUAAUAAUCACAUCUACAAAUGUACAUUAUUAGUGAGUCAUUGAUGAUAUAUCACGAAUUCAUUAGCUGAUUAAUUAAAGAUACCACGAAAAUAUUAUAUCAUUAGCUGGUCUAAAAAAGUAGUCAAUAAGAAAAUGAAAGGUAAAUUCAUAAAUUUCAGCCGGAAAUUUUUUUUUAAAAAAAAAGGGACCAAUAAUUGUAGGAAAUGGCUAGCUUCUUAUCCUCUUCACAAAAGAUUAAAUCCUCUUGAAAAGGUUUGUUACUGAAAUACAUAUUAUAUUACACCAACACUCUCUAUUACCAUAUGAAUUUAGAUCUUCCCCUAACUUAAUAUUUUAUAUAAUGUUGUAGGAAUAAUCUUCAUCACCAGAGAUUAGGAUCUUCUCCUAACUUAAUAUCUCAUAAGUGUUGUAUGAGAUUAUUUAGCACAUGUCAUUAUAUUUUUCUAAAGCUAAGAUUUAAUUUACUUUAUACUUUCCUUAUUAAACAUUAAAACCAAUAAUUUUCUAGGCUAAGUAAAACCCUGAAAUUCAAGUGUGCCGCUUUCUAGCUAACCAAACUGCUGCUUCUUUCUCUACCGGGUUUUUUUUUUUUUUUUUUUUUGCCACAAACUUUAAACUUAGGUAUAUAUAAACUUGAGCAAAGAAGCAUUAUUGGCAAUUAAUUCUUGUAAGAAUUGUUUAUGUAAUGGAAUCAGACUAGAACAGAAUGCAUUAUUGUUCGAUAUACGUAGUCUACAAUAACAAUUGAAGACACCUGAAGAUAAUAUCAAUUAUAGACAAUUUUUAUUGCAAUAUAUUCAAUGCAUUGUUGCUAUCGCGUGUCUGUAAUUAAUUUUACAUAAAUUAAGCUGAUAUAUCUCAUUUCAGUGUACUAAUAAUUAAGUUGAACGUUGAUGCAGCUACUGCUAUUUCCAGGAACACAGCUUUUCUAGGAGCCAGUAGUCGUAAUGUGAGAGGGGAGAUUAAUUAUGGCAGUAGCUAUCUAAAGUAAAAUUUUGGAGAUAUUGAAUUCGUUGAAGCAGAAGCAAUGACAUUUGAGAUCGAAAUAUGCAAACGGCACGGGUCUAUUUCCAUUAAUUAUUGAAUCAGAUAUUCAGAAUGUUGUCAAUCUUGCUGCAUCACUUGAAAGUACUAGAAAAUAGAUUCUUUGAGUGAUCUCUGAUAUUUAAUUGUUGGCUAGACAACUGGCAAUUUCAAAUUUGUAUUCAUUCCUAGAAUAUGUAACGUGGAAGUUCAUAGAUUAGCUAAACUUGCAGUUAGCUAUCAGAAAGCCGUAUUGUUUGGAUUGAGAAUAUUCCUAUAGAUGUAAAAUCUUAUCAUUUUUAAAGAAUUUUUUACUUUGAAAGUAAAAUAAUUAAGGGCCAUCUCUAUCGUUGUUAGGGAUGGCAAAAUCCUCCACGGGUUUGGGGCCCCAUGGAGCCCCACCCCAAAUGGGGAAAAUUUUGAAUAAUUUUUGGGGAAUGGGGUGUGGAGUGGGGAGAAAAUAAUCCCCAAAUUCUUAAUGGGGUGGGUUUUGGUUUUGUACUCCCCACCUCAAUCCCCAUUAUAUAUAAAUAUGUUUUUAAUUCUUAUUUAAUAAUUUUUAUUUUAUCAAUUAUAAUGUCAAUUAAUAAUUUUUUUUUUAAUUUUUAUGCAAUAUAAACAAGAUAUGAAUGAAAGAAAAUCCUAUAAUAUUUUUCAACUCUGAAACAUUGUUAUAUUUUUUUUUCUCUUUUAAGGUGCUACGCUCUUUAAAUAUUUUUCACUUUUAAUAUCAUUUUAAGAUAUUGUUUCAAACUUUUAGAUAUUUUUUUAAAAGAAUUUAAAUACUUUAUAAUAUGAUGAUGAUUUUAUUUUAAAUCUCUAAUUUUUAACUUACUAAAAUAAUAUAUUUAUACAUAUUAUAAAAUAAAUAAAUGGGGAAUGGGGUGGGGAUGGAUAAAUCAUUCCCCACAUGGGGAUUCUCCAUCCCCACUCCACUAAAAUUAUUAGGGAAUGAGGUGGGGAAUGGAGACAAAAAUUUCUAACAGGGUGAGGAAUGUGGUAGGCCUCCCCACCCCCACCCCACCCCAUUGCCAUCCUUAAUCGUUGCGAAUUGCAAUUCUCAUAGACUAUGCGGUCCACAUUAUGAGUUUUAAAUUCUUGCAUGAUUAAUCACCCACAUGAGCAUGCUCCACCAACCUGCCACAUCAUGUUACCACUUCUUCCAAUCUGUGUAUAUAUACACGCACACACACCAGUAUGGCCUCCAUGCAAAUUACAAACGCAGUAUCUAAUAUUGUUUGUCACUGGCCAGAAACAUGAAUAUUAAAGCCUUCUUUGUUCUCUCCACAGUGCUCUCAUUGCUUCUCUUGGUAUGUAUCAUUUGAUCAGUAAUAAUGUUAGGUUAAUCACAAAUUCAUUACAUAAAAUAUUUUGUACAAAAUUGAUAACACAAAUGUACAGUAUCGAUGUGAUGAGAACACCACACAGCCCGAUCAUUAUUUUGUAUUUCUAUUCAACCAAUACUAUUUUAUCACAUCAGCUUUAAGAGUAGCUUAAUUAUAGCUAGCUCUAGCAUUACUCGUUUUGAUUCAAAUGAUUUUCGAAUUUUUAUCAUUCGCAUGGUCAAUAUAUAGUUCCUCUUUCUUUUGUUUUUCCCCCUCUUAAUUGUUUUCCUUGUGUGCAGUUUGCCAACAUGAUAGAUGCGAGAAAAGACCUGAGAGAUUAUUGGAGAACUGUCGUGAAAAAUCAAGACAUGCCUGGGGAAUCAACUCAAGGUCUCAUUCCUGAAGAUCAAGCCUCGACCGUCUCUAAAACCACUGCCUAUUGCCAUACACAUGAAGAUUCUGAGCACACCAUGGAGAAGCCUUUUGUCAAUAAGAACUUUGAGCUGAUGCCUGAUGUUUCAAUCUAUGACAACGGCGUUAAGCUGACGAAACAAAAGGCUUUUGUCAAGGACCUCGAGCUAAUGCCUGAUGUUUCAAUUUAUGACAACGGUAUUAAACCAAAGGAUAAGCAGAGAUCCUUCGCCAAGAACUUCGAGCUCAUGCCUGAUGUUUCAAUUUACGACAACGGUAUUAAGCCAACCAAACAAAAGGCUUUUGCCAAGCACUUCGAGUUCUUGCCUGAUGUUUCAAUUUACGACAACGGUAUUAAGCCAACCAAACAAAAGUUCUUCGCCAAGGACUUCGAGCUCAUGCCUGAUGUUUCUAUUUAUGACAAUGGUGUAAAGCUAGCCAAACAAAGGUUCUCCGCCAAGGACUUCGAACUCAUACCUGAUAUUUCAAUUUAUAACAAUGGUGUAGAGCUAGCCAAACAGAAGGCAUUCGCCAAAGGCUUCGAGCUCAUGCCUGAUGUUUCAAUUUAUGACAAUGAUAUUAAACCAUCGAAGAAGAGUUCAUAUGCCAAGGACUUUGAGCUGAAGGCUGAUAUUUCAAUUCAUGAACCGACCGAACAAAAAUAGGUUAUUAGCAGUACGGAUCCGCAGCCAGAUGCUACAAUUUAUCAUAAAUAAAUAGAUGAUCAUGCUUGCAAUCAGGCGCAGGAUGGAGUCUCUUACCAUAUUUAAUGUUCUAGAAGAGUAGCCACAUAUAUGUGACACUGCUUUCCUUGUUUGUGUGUGUUGUCAAAAGCGCUGUUUGUAAAGUAAUGUAAUAAGUGCUGAAGUAACCCAUGCAAUAAAAUCAUGUCAUGCGUCUUUAAAUUUUUUUUUUUUUUCUCCUCUCUCUCUUAAACAAUCUUAUGAUAGAUUAUUUACAAGUUAUAAUUUAUAAAGGGAGAAACUAUAUUAAAAUAAUGCUUUAUACAUAAAUAUUCUAUCCCUUAACCUCGUAUAGCUAAUUAAGUUUGUAUUUUUUUUAUUUACAACGACAUGCUUAGAUGUUUAAAUUUUUUUUUUCUUUUUAAAGGUAAGAGGGUUGGGUCAAUCAAAAUUAAUUUUUUGAACCUGAUCUCUCUAAGAUUCAAAUUUAGGUGGCUAGCUAACUAAAAUUACUUGAAACCACUCAGUUGGGUCUCUAGGGGCCUUGGAUGUUUAAAAAUUGCAUUUUGAAUUGUUAUUCAGAUGGAACAAUAUAAUUAACUUUAAUUUCAAAGUCAAUUUGGCCCUAUUUGGUUUUGAGAUGCUGUAACUUUUAAACUAAUUUUUGGGGAAAAAAAAGUUAUAACCUUAAAAUAAAAAUUAAUAGUGUGUGGAAAAUAUGAUUUUUAAAUAAUAAUUUUGACAAAAUAUCAAAGAAAUAUUAUUUAAAUUAUUAUUACCAACCAAACAAAAAUAGGUUUUUUAUUAUACAAAUGCAAGAUCAAAUCAACUUAAUUUUUGAGUUACAACAACUAGUACUUACUAAACACUUUGAUGUCAAUACCAAAUAGGCCUCUUUUUUCCUCUCCCUCUCUAAUUUGUAAGGCUACCCAACCAUAUUUUAUCUAAUAUUCAAUUAUUAUAUUAACUAGUUUUAUUUUCUUAUGAUCACAUAAUAUCUUUUUUUUUUUUUCAAUAAUCUGAAUAGAUAAUGGUUUUAAAGCUCAAAAGUAGAUUUGAUUCUAAAUAUUUACAAAUUGACAAAAAAAAAAAAAAAAACUGAUUCACAUUUGCAGAAGAAGGUAUGUACUUGAACGCCAUGAUGGUAUAUAAUUAAAUUUAACUAUUGUUAUAUUUUUAUUUAUUAAUCACUAAUUAUUCACGAUGAAUUUUAUUUGAAUAAGUUCAUAUCAUGAUAGAAUCUUAAUUCACAAUAAUAAUUUAUUUAUAAAUAAAAAUUAAUAUUAGCCAACUUAAAGUAAUGUUUAUCAUCCUUGCAAUAAUUUUAUUAAUAAUUAUUUUAUAAAAAAAUAAUUUACCAAAUUAAUCCUAAAAGUAAAAUAAUAUCAUAAAAAAAUUUUACUGUAAAAAUUUUUAUACUACUUUUAAGGCUAAUUUGAUCAAGAAUGGAACUACUAGCACUCCUUCAAAAUCGUUUUAAGAGCCCUUUUUAAAUACACUCAAUCAAAUAAAUGAAAAAUUAUAUCACUUCUAAAAACAACCAUCUUUAUUCCACAAUUGUCCUUCAAUCUUAUCUCUCAUAAAAUGAUAAAAUUACAAAAAUAAAAAUCUUUUUGUGGAUACUAUUGCAAUAAUCAUUAGCAAUCUUCACAAAUUUGAUUAACAAGUAUGGAAUGGUAUGUAACUUUAGAUUUCUAAAUUUUAACUUUUCUUUAUGUUUUGCAACAAAUAUACCUUCUAUUUUAAUAUAUGAUACCUAUUAAUUUAAUUUUUUUCAAAUAACAAAACUCACUUGUUCAAACAAACAAUGAGACCAAAAAAAGCAAGGUAAAAAAAAGUGAACAAAUAAAAGGUAGAACUACUUGACACACAAAAACUUAAAAAAAAAAUGAAAAAGAAGAGAUCUAGUAGAAGAAGCAUGAGUAUAAAAUAAGCCAGGCAAAAGAAUCAUAUAUUUUCGACAAAUUCCAUGUCAAUGUCCUUUUGGACAAAAUUUUUAAUGUUAUCUAUUUGAAUAAUGAUGGUGGUUGAGUUUCCACUUUCCAUUAUGCUCUCGACUGUAAGCUUCUGAUGCGUCUUCUAAAAUAAUUCUAGAUAUUUUAUUUUAAAUUUAUUGUAAUUUGUAAGUUACCCUUUUAAUUGCGGUUAUCAUGUAAACAAUUGUUGCCAAAUCAUAAACAAAAUCCUGAGCCGACGAUAAUGGGACGGCUUUGAUCCAUGAUCCACUUAAUCUAAAUCUAAAUUUAUCAUAUUUGGAUCAGUAUAAAAUGAAUUUGGAGUGGGUACAUAUGAAUCUAGAUGAGUAAAUUCAAAACAAAUUUAAAGCAGGUAUACAAAUCUAACUUAAAAUUCGGAUCCAUAGCCAUAUCUAACUAGAAAUCUUUUAAUUUAAUUUAAUUUUUAAAAGUAUUAAACUAUCGAUGGUUUAAUACUUAUACCUAGCUUACUGAAAUCAAUACGACAUUUAUAAGAUACAAUAUAUUAUCAAUUUUAUAUUAAAUUCAAAGUAUUCUUAUUAAUUUUAUUUAAGAUGAAUUAUGUGUUUUAGUUGAUAGUAAGACGUUUUUUCUCAAAUAUUUUUGUGCUCUUAUUAUUCUUAUCAAGCUUUAAAGUUUAAUAAAAUAAAUUUAUUAAUAUUUUGUAAUAAUAAUAAAAUUUUAAAAUAAAAAUUAAUAAAUUCAAAAUGGAUUUGUAGCAUAUUUGAACCUUUAUUUUAAAUUUAAAUUUAGAUAUGGAAUAAAAAUCAUAAACCCAUAACGAAUUUAGAAUAAAUAUAAAUCUCAAUUUUUAUUAUUAAUCAAGAAUUAGAACAUAAUAGAUCCAGCUGAUAUAUGCCCCAUUAUCAUCCCUGUCACUGAUGAAAAGAUAUCGGAAAAUAAGCAUGAGUUUAAUAAGCUAGACAAUCAAAGAAUCAUAUAUAGCAAUGAUUGAUUCUUUCUUGCUAUCCUUAUGAAAUCUUUCUCAAUGUCUUUUCUACGAAAUAUUUUUCAAUGUCUUUUUCGAAAAUAUCACCCUUCAGCCAAUGACUUUGGCUGAUAUUUCAAUUCAUGAACCAACCGAACAAAAAUCGUUUGUCAACAGUAUGGAUCUGCAGCCAGAAGCUACAAGUUAUCAUUAUUAAAUUGGUGAUCAUGCUUGCAGUCAGGCGCAGGACAGAGUCUCUUACCAUAUUUAAUGUUCUAGAAGCGUAGCCAUAUAUAUGAAACGUUUUACUUUGUUUUUGUAUGUUGUCAAAGACUCAGUUUUAAAAGUAAUAUUGUAAUAAGAGCUCAUUUGGAAGUGUGGUGAGGUAGUUGGGUUAUCAAAAUCUAAUUAUUAAGAUGUUUGUUAACAUUUAUAAUUGAGCUUUGACAACUUAAUAAAUUUUUUUUUCUCAACUUCUAUUCUACAGUUAUAACUUUUACUCCACAGCAACUACAGCACUUCACUUUCAAACACACCUUAUAAGUGUUGAAGUGUCUCAUGCAAAAAUUCACAUAAGUACUGCAAUGUCUGCAGGAGGGUCUUCCAACUUCAUGGACUGGCCCAAUUAAGGCCUGAGAGGGGCUUAAAUUUUUUUAAAAUUAAGCCCAUAAAACCCCUUCUAAUUAUUAAGUCCAAUACUAAUAUAAUAAAUAAUUUGGGCUUUUCUCAACAACAAAAAAAGUAUUUUGAGCUUUUAAAUUAAAUCCAUUUAAAUAAUAAAACUUUUUGAAUUUAAUCAAAUUCUAAUUUAAAACUAACUUACAAAACUCAUUGUUUCAUAUUAAUAAUAAAAAAACUUAACGAAAUAAAAAAUACCAAAAUCAUGAAACUAUGAAUCACCAAAUCACAAAGACUGGCCACCGCCACUGCCGAAUGUUUCCAUUCCUGCUCCUAGUCUGCCACCAACUCGUUGUUAUCUGUCGCCGCUAUCGCUGAGCCUUUCAUGAGUUUCGUCCUUACUAGAUCAGUCAUAGAUUGAAACAGGUAUUGUGCUUGAAUGGUGUUUUGAAGUUUGACUAAUGAUUUUGGCUGAAUGAAUGUUCUGCAUUUCUCUAACUUCGUUCAUUAAUUCUUAUUCUGAUAGCUAUAUACAAAACUCCAAAAGUAAAAGUUCAUUUGUCAAAAGUGAGCAAUUCUUUAAUAUUAAAAUUGAAUGGGAAAGUGGUGGGAUAGUAGGUGCUCUGUGAAAUGGUGAAAGUGGUGUAUAAUUUAUUAUAUAAAAGCAAUCAUUUUGUUAAUGCAAAUAAAUGAGCAAUUAAAAAAAUAAAAUUUGCAAUCAUGUAUCUUUCCCGUGAACCCCAUUAAGUGUAUUGUAAAAUAAUAUUUUUGUAAUAUCGAAUUUGUAUUAAAUUCAUUAUUAUUGUUCCGUUGUUGUAGUUAUUUUGUUAGGAUUUAGCCUUAUUGUGAAAUUUAAUCUAGUAAUAGUUUUAUUUGAUUUGAAACAAAUAUGGAAAAAAUUUUAAAAAAGAAACCACAGCUCCCAUCUCCUCUAGAGGGAACUAGUGAUGGUUCAUAUGAAGUUAAUUUAAAAAAUUUGCUUGAUGACCGUGGCUUACGACCUUGUAUUGAUAGUUAUAAUUGUAAUAUUUGAGACCAAGUUCGAAGAACAUACUUACAAAGGGGUCCUUUUCAACCUAAGGGCACAAUUUUAAAUUUGAGAAAUUUAGAAAUCAACAAUGAUGAUUUGUUUCGGAUUGGUUCAAAGAAUUUGGUUCUUGGCUGGAAUAUAAUACAAAAGAAGAGUUUGCAUAUUGUCUUUUUUGUUAUCUUUUCAAAGAAGAUAAUGGUGAUCAAGCGGGUAGUGAUACUUUUAGUGGGAAAGAAUUUAAAAAUUGGAAAAAGAAAGAAAAAUUAAAUAUUCAUGAAGGAGGUGUCAAUAGUGCCCAUAACCGAAUUAGGCAUAAAUGUGAAAGGUUGAUGAAUCAGAAACAACAUAUUGUAACAUUUUUUGCAAGACAAUCUGAGAAAACUCAAAGUGAAUAUAAAACUCGCUUGAAUGCUGAUGUUGAUUGUAUUCAGUUUCUCUUAAAUGAAGGGGUAGCAUUUCGUGGGCAUGAUGAGUUUGAUGGUUCAAGCAACAGAGGGAAUUUUCUUAAGCUUUUACGCUUCUUUGUUGAUCAUAAUGAAGAUAUUAAUGUUGUUACUUUCAGAAACACUCCUCUAAAUCUGCAAAUAACAUCUCCAAAGAUCCAAAAAGACAUUGUAAGUUGUUCUGCAACUGAAACUACUAAUGUUAUUAUUAGAGAAAUGGAUGGUGCAUUAUUUUUUGUUCUAAUUGAUGAGUCUCAUGAUAUAUCUACAAAAGAGCAAAUGGCUAUUGUAUUACGUUAUGUGGAUAAGAAUUGAUAUGUGGUUGAACAUUUUGUAGGCAUUGAACAUGUUUCUAGCACUACAGCUGCCUCACUUAAAGAGUCUCUUAAUAAUAUAUUUUCAAGGUUUGGAUUGAGUUUGUCAAUGUUACAUAGGCAAGGUUAUGAUGGGGCAAGUAAUAUGCAGGGUGAGUUUAAUGGUUUAAAAACGCUCAUUUUAGAGGAGAAUGAAUCUGCUUAUUAUGUUUACUGUUUUGCUCAUCAACUUCAGUUGGCUCUUAUUUUUUAGGCAAAAAAGCAUGAAGAAGUUAAUUCUUUGUUCAAUUUAAUUUCAAUGCUAGUUAAUGUUCUUGGAGUGUCAGUUAAACGUCGUGACAUUCUACAUGAGAAACAUGCUCUUGCAGUCAUUGAAGCAUUAGGUAAAAGCGAGAUUUCAAGUGGACAAGGUUUGAAUCAGAAGAUUACUUUAAAGCAUCUUGUUGAUACACGCUGGUCUUCUCAUUAUGGUACGUUAAUGAGCAUAAUUUAUAUGUUUCCAUCUGUGGUUGAUGUGCUUGAGAUAAUUGAAGUCAAAGGAAAUUAUGAGCAAAGAUUUCAAGCUAAAACACUAUUGAAGUUGAUGCAAUCAUUUGAUUUCAUAUUUUGUUUAUUCUUGAUGAAAAAUAUUCUUGAUAUGCAAAUGAGUUGUUACGAGCACUACAAAGGAAAGAUCAAGAUAUUUUGAAUGUUGUAAAAUUGGUUGAAGUUUAUAAGCAUAACCUUCAGAAGUUGAGAGAUAAUGGAUGGGAUUCUUUAUUUGGUCAAGAUUCGACUUUCUGUAGCAAGCAUGAUAUCGAUGUUUUAGACAUGAAUGAUUUAUUUUUAAUUCCAGGGCGAUCACGUCGUAAAGCUCAAGAGAUCACAAAUUUACACCGAUAUUGAGUUGAGUUAUUUUAUGUUGUCUUAGACAUGCAACUUCAAGAGCUAAAUAAUCGUUUCAAUGAGUCAAAUACUGAGUUGCUUAUUUGUUUGGCUUGUCUAUGUCCAAAUGAUUUGUUUGCAGUUUUUGACAAGGAAAAAUUACUUCGACUUGCUCAAUUUUAUCCUAAAGAUUUUUCUGCAAUAGAUCUUAUCGCACUUGAGAUGCAACUUGAUGUAUACAUUAUGGAUUUACAAUCUAGUGCAGAAUUUUUAGAAUUGAAAGGGAUUGGUGAACUUGCAAGGACAAUGGUUAAGACUAAAAAGGAUCAGGUGUAUCCGUUAGUUUAUCAAUUGGUUACAUUGGAUUUAAUUCUACCUGUAACUACAGCCACUGUAGAGAGAGUAUUUUCAGCCAUGAAUUUUGUGAAGAAUCAACUUCGAAACCGGAUGGGUGAUCAAUGGCUGAAUGAUAACUUAGUUGUGUACAUAGAAAAAGAUGUAUUUGCUUGUAUUAACAAUGAAGCUAUUAUUCGACGUUUUCAAAAUAUGAAAACACGUCGAGAACAAUUGAAGAAGUUUUAAAAAUGAUUAUGUCAAUGAAAUUGAAUAUUUUACUUAUUAUUUUUUCAGUUGGCUUUUAUUAUCUUGUCGAUUUUUUUUAUCAAUUUAUAUUAAGCCCCUUCUAAAUUUAUUUCCUGGGUCCGCCACUACUUCUAACUAAAUAAGAUCGUUUUUCAAAGAGAGUGCUAAUUUUGCUAACUGAUAAGAAAUUAUAUUGCAAUUUUUAAUUUCUAAAAUAAUCCAUUCAAUCUCCUUUCUACUUGAUAAAACGCCCUUAAUUAGAUGGACAAGAUUUACUGAAUCAAAUUCCACAAUCAAAGGAGAUAAGCAUGAAUCUAUCGCCGGCUUAAUGCCUUCGAGGAUAGCUUUAGCCUUUGCAAACUCAAUGUCACUAGGAAAAGAUUUCUUGUGGCUGGGCCAGCUAUAAAAUCUCCCUUGAAAUUUUCUAUUAUUGCACCCAAACCUAUAAUUCCAUUGGAGAUAUCAAUCGCUGCAUCAACAUUCAAGUUAUACCAAUGAUUAUCCGAUGGAAUCCAACUAACACCCUUCUUGGUUGGAGGGACUAGAAACUCUUGAAUUAGAGAGCCUUGAGCAGCAAUGUACGAAUUCAAAACAGCUUCAGCCUUGCAAAGAACAUUCUUUGGGUCCAUCUUUUGAUUCUGAUAGAGCGCUAUGUUCCUAGAAUGCCAAAUAGACCAUGUAAUCAUCACAAAAGAUGAGUAGUCCUUUUUUGACAGCAAAGAUUCCAAAUUCUUUACAAAGAGCAAAAUCCAUACGAGGGCUAUUCGUUACAUAAGCAGCCAAAGUUAACAACUACCACACCUUCAUCGCAAACUUAUAGCCAACUAACACAUGAAAGGUACCCUCAAUAGCACUAAAACAUCGAUGACAAUUUGGAGAAUCCACUACCUUUCGUUUCAAACGAUUAUUUGAUGUAGAGAGUAUAUUAUGUAGAGCUCUCCAGAAAAAAAGAUCUUGACUUUAGAUGAAAUGGAUAAAAGCCAAGCGGGUACCCCAAUUAGCAUAGAUAAAUGAACUUGAUGGGGAAUUAGGAUAAGUAAGGCCCUGUUUGGGAUUGAAAUUGAUUGGAUGAAACUCAAUAAGCUGCUUAUUUUAUAAUUUUUGAUAAAAAUAAUAUUUGGUAAAUUUUGUAAAAGCAACUUAUUUCAUAAUUUUCUUCAUUUCGUCGACAACUUUUAAAAGCAGAUAGAGGGGUGUUUUUCAUAAGCAGCUUAUUUACUACGUCUUUUUAAAAUACAUAUUAUAACCUUAAUAUUUCGAUAAAAAGACAAUUAUAUCGUACUUAUCCAAACCUUAAUAUAUAAAUCAUUAAAUAUUAUAUUACUGCCACGAUUUUAUUGCAAAAAAAAUUAUUGUGAAUGUAAUACAUAUUACUUUUUAUUUUAUUUAGAUUAUAUAAAAGUAUAAAUUUUUAUCAUUUUUUAUGUAAUAGAUUAGGAAGUUCUUCAGAUUUUUCUUAAUUGAGUUUUUUUUAAAUAAUUUUACAUAUUUAAGAAAAAAGUAUGUCUAAAUAAUUUAUUAAACAUAAAAUUAAAAAAAAAAAUAAAACGUAUAUCUAUUUUGGUCAUUAUAUAAUACAACAACACUUUCGUAAUAAGAUUUACCAAACUCAUGUACUCUACUUUUCAAAUUCACAGUAAUCACAACAGCACAGUUUAUCAAUAUGAGUAAUGCAUGUAAAUUAAGAUCAUCUCGUAAUCUAAGCUCUAUUAAUUAAAUUUUUAAAAAUCUUGUGUCACAUAUUUUUAGUAUAGUGUAUAAUUUAUUGUUAUGUCUUAUUUAUUAAUUCCCAAUUACCCGCUAUGUAUCUUACUCAAAGAUGUUUUGAUUAUGAGAGAAUUUUAAUUCAAAUACAUAUGAAAAAAAGAAAGAAAGAAAGAAAUCUGAGACCAUACUAAUAAGAGAUUUCGUUUCAUGUGAUUUUAAGAUAAAAAUUAUGAUUGAUAUGCAAACUUGGUUGCGUUUAGUAUUGUUCUUUAAAUGAUGUUUUUUGUAUUUGUUUUAUAAUAUAGAUAUGAUUAAUAUUUGAUGAAUUUAAAAUUUUGUUUGCUAUAUAGUAUAUAGUAUGAAUUUGACCACUAAAUACUGAAUAAUUAUGUUUAUAUACAAAAUAUAAAAAAAUAAAUGAAAGAGAGAGGCAACAGAGCAUAAUACAGAGACGGACCCACAACUUCAUAAAACUAUGUCAUAAAAGCAGUGGUAGUUCCUACGAACAAAGUGAAGAAUAAAGAUUUUAUGUUGUCUAAUUAUCUUCGUUAACAUUGUAAAUAGAUAUGGUUUGCUUUCAUAAUAAUAAAAAUGUCACAGUUACUGAGGCUUACCAAACACUUUUUUUUUCUAUUCUUAUAAAAUAGAAAAUGAGUGAUGAAAAACAAUCCCAAGCAGCCCAAAAUUUUUUCCAUUUUUACCCCUUUAGUCAUAGCCUAUCAGCCUCUCCAAUUAGUUGAAAUCCUGAUGAUUUAAGUGUUUAGUCUGUUUUUCAAUGAGACGUAUUUCGUUCAAACUUUUACCUUCAAUCAAUGGGACCAAAGAAAGCAGGAAAAAAAUUUAAACAAAUAAAAGGUAGAAUAGUUGACAGACAAAAUUUUAUAAACAUUUUGAAACAACCAACAUUAAAAAGAAAUUAAAAAAAAAAAAGAGAAGAGAUCUAGUACAAGAAACAUGAGUUUAAUAAGCUAGAAAGUGAAAAAUCUUACUUAGCUUUUCAACAAGAUCCUUUUCAAUGUCCUUUUCGACAAAAGAGAGAUUUUAACUAUUUCCUAGUUAUAACAAAAGAGAGAUUUUAACCUUCUUUUCUUAAUUGGUUGGAGCUUGUUUUUUCUUGCUGCAAGAAAGAGUUGUGUAACCUCGUUGCCAUGAUAUGCUGGAGGAUCUGGCACCGGAGGAACGAGAAAGUUUGGAAUAACAAAGUCUGUAGUGUGCGUCAUGUCCUUAACUCUGCUGGAAAUUAUUUGUUUCAAUGGCAAACUGCGAGGCAGAAAUCUGAGGUCCAUAAUGCUACUUGUUUCCAAGGCUGUCAUGGGGCAAUUUGCUGGACACCUCCUCAGUUAGGUUGGCUUAAGUGUAAUGUUGAUGCCGCAACAUUUUCAGCUCAGGGAAAAGUGAGUUAUGGAGGGGUCAUUCGCAACUCUGAUGGGCUUUUUGUGGCAGCUUGCUGUGCAUCUGUCCUGGGUAGUUUUGGUGCAAGGGAUGCUGAAGCGCUUGGUGUGCGUGAGAUCCUCAGCUGGAUUAAGAAGCGGCAUUUGUCUUGUGUUGUAGUAGAAUUGGACUGCAUUCAGGUUUUUAAAGCUCUCACAGCAAGCUAUUCUUGUCCUAAUGGGUAUGGUCUUAUUCUUGAUGAUUGUCUAGCUUUAGCUAAGUCUAUAGGAGAUAUUGAGUUCUCUUUUGUUCGAAGGUCUGCGAACACUGCCGCCCAUGUUACUGCUCGGGUGGGGGGUUCUUUGUCAGGCUUUGAGGAGUGGAAUCAUGUUCCACCUCCUUGGUUAUUUACUUCUCUGUAAUCUUUGCCCUUUAAUGAAGUUUCCAGUUUCAAAAAAAAAAAAAAAAACUAACCUCUUAUGGAGGGAUGAGAUAACGAUCAAGUUGGCAUGAUCUGUAGAGAUAACGACGAGUUUGGAAUAAUCAUGUGGUGAUAAUAUUAUGAUAUUCUGCCUUUUGAUCAACUGAGCACGCUCGCUCUCACAACACAACUCUCUUCAUAAGAAUUGGCCAACAUGGAUUGUCACUUUUCAUGUUAUGAUAUCAUAUUACCUUGAAUGGCAUAAUAAUUUGAUUUGAAGAAAUGAAACGAGAGUAGAGGAAAAAAGGAGAAGGAAAAGAAAUAAGAAGAAAAAUGAUGAAUUCCAUAUCAAACUAAAUAAUGAAAUUGAGAUCGAUUCUUUUUUUUUUCUUUUUUUUCUCUAAUAAAAAUACAUCAGAUUAAUGACCAAGUAUUGAUAUUUAAUACUCUCAGUUUCUCUAUUUAUCUCCCACUUUUCUCAGUUUAAUUUGAAAAGUCUAAAAUACCUACCAAAAUAACUUAAAGUUUUAAAUUUUACCCUUUCCUUUUUCUCUCCUCUCUCUCAUUCUCCCGACUUUCCUUCAUCUUCACUUUGUUUAAAAAUUGAAGGUUAGUACACUUUCCUUCAUUUUUUGAUUUUUCUGUAUCGAUGAGAGCAAUAAUUCACAUCAUCAAACAAAACCUUUUCUACCCAAAUCAUGAUUAUAAAUAAAAGUGACAAUAGCAAAAUCAUGAUAUGGAAUCUUGAUCAUAUCUCAUGAUCCCUCUUCAGCUUCUAUGUUAACCAAAGAGAAAAAAAUACAAAUGAUAAAAGAAUAAAUUUUAAAAUGCUGUCCUUUUUUUGGGGGGGAUAAAAAAGAGUUUGAGAUCAAGAUGAAAGUGUUGCAUAAAUAAUAAUAAUUAUAAUAAUUAAAGAAAACGGCUUGCAUCUCCACUGAUUGCUGAGAAGAGAAGUGGUUUAUGCCGGCCGGUUCGAAGAAGACAAGUGGUGGGUGUCAGUGCAUGUUAGUAAUUAUUGGGGACUAGAACAGAUUGUCCAGAGUGAUGGUGCGUUUGGGAUUGAAGUUGGACAGUUGUAACUUUUAAUUUACAGUACUAAAGUGUUUGGUAAACACUAAAUAUUGUAGCUUGGAAAAUAUAUUAAUAUGAUUUUUUUCUUGUAUAAUAAAAAAUUUAUUAUAUCUUUAAUAAUUUUAUCAAAAUUAUUAUUUAAAAUUUAUAUUUACUAUAUAUUAUUAAUUUUUGUUUCAUAUUUACAGCUUUUUUUCUACAGCAGUUGUAGCUUAAAAGCUACAGCAUCUCAAUCCCAAACAAGACCUGAAUCUUGUUCAACAAGCAACAGAUUCAGCACCGAUGAAAGAAGAACAAAUAUUUAUUUUAUUUUAUUUUUAAUGAGGGCAAUUCUGAAUAUAAUUAUAAUUAGUAAAUUGGGAGAUAACGAGAUAAAUUGAGAGGUUAAAUAUUUUUCACUCUUAAUGAUAAAAAUAACCACAUCGAAGUGCACUGUUAAAUAAAUAAGUGCCAUCACUAUUUAUGCAAUUUACAUGAUAUUAUAAUUAAUCUUGCAUAUGAUUAUUUAUUAAUCACAAAUAUGUAACAUGUGCUAGCACAUACUAUUUUCAGAGCGCUCUAAAUUUCUUAUGCUACAUUUUUUCCUAUAAAUAGAAAGAGGCACACGUCUUCCACGCAAAUCACACAAGUAAGACUUAGUAUAAUUAGAAACAUGAAUCUCAAAGCUUUCUUUGUUCUCCCCGCAGUGCUCUCUUUGCUUCUCUUGGUAUAUAUGCAUCUCUUUUUAAGGAAAAUUUAACAUAAAGGAUACCUAAUUAAGUUAGUUUUGAUGAGAUUCUCUUUAUCAUUUGUUUGAUCUAAUUUUUUUUUUUCCUCUUGUUCAGUUUGCUAACAGAACAGAGGCCAGAAAAGAUCAGGGAGAAUAUUGGAGAGGCUUCGUCAAAGAUAGCGACGUGCCAGAAUCAAUUCAAAUUCAUGUUCGCCAGGAUCCUGUCUCAACUGCCUCUAAUGCCAAAGCCCACUGCAAAGAACCUGAAGAUUUAGAGCACAAGAGAGAAAAGACUUAUGUCAAGGAUUCUGACGCAACGAUUGAUAUCUUAGUUUAUCACAACAGUAUUAAACCAACUGAACAAAAGUUAUUUGGCAACCACUUCGAAAGCCCGGAUGCUACAAUUUACCACAAUGACAUUAAACCAACAGAACAGAAGUUAUUUGGCAACCACUUCGAGUCAAGCCCUGAUGCUACAAUUUACCUCAACGAUAUUAAACCAACUGAACAGAAGUUAUUUGGCAACCACUUCGAGUCAAGCCCGGACGCUACAAUUUACCACAACGAUAUUAAACCAACUGAACAGAAGUUAUUUGGCAACCACUUCGAGUCAAGCCCGGAUGCUACAAUUUACCACAACGAUAUUAAACCAGGUGAACAGAAGUUCUUUGGCAACCACUUCGAGUCAAGCCCGGAUGCUACAAUUUACCACAACGAUAUUAAACCAAUUGAAAUGAUUAAAUCUUUUGUUAGCAAAUUCUUGUCAAACCCUGAUGCUACAAUUUAUCAUGAGUAACCAGACUCUGCUUUCAAUCGUGUGGAGAGAG
rnacentral:lncRNA from 1 species